rnacentral:lncRNA from 1 species
CAUGUCACAAAGGAGAAUGCUUUGAAACUUGAAGCUAAAGCCAACGAUGAGAAAGUGUCGUCAUUACAAGCGGUGUUAGGACAUUUAUGGUGUUCGAUGGUUAAGCACAGUGGGAUGAGCAGAGAGGAAGAGACUCAUUGCAGGUUACCUAUAGACAUGAGGAGAAGGGUGGAUCCACCGUUGGAAGAAGACUGUUUUGGGAACGUGAGUCAGACCGGGAUAGCGAAAGUCACGGUUGGUGAGCUGAUGGAUAAUGGAUUAGGGUGGGCGGCUGGGAAGAUAAACGAUAUGGAGCGGUCGCAAACGCAUGAAAACGCGGAAGGGAAUGCGGAGAAAUGGGUGAGAGAUGUGAAGAUUCCGGUUUCGGUUGGUAGUAAAGAUUUGGUUGUGACGAGUUCUCACCGGUUUGAUGUGUAUGGAAAUGAUUUCGGUUGGGGUAAACCGGUAGCUGCGAGAGCUGGACCGCCGUAUGUGAGUGGGAGAAUGGUUGUGUUCCAAGGGGUUGAAGAAGGGAGUCUUGAUUUUCAGGCUUGCUUGCUGCCUCAAGUAGUGGAAAAGCUAUCAGAAGAUGUUGAUUUUAAAGAGUUUGUGAGCAUUGUAUUAUGAUGGUUUGAUGACUUGGUUCAACAAUUUGGAUCGAAUUUAAAAUGUGUGUGUGUGUGUGUGUGUGUUUCUUCCUUUUCUGAUUGUUUGUAAUUCAUCAACCUGGUCACAUGAAAUUCUCAGAUGGCCAUAAACAUUUUUAAAAUAAAUUUGAAUAAUUUUUCUUUAGUUUGGAAGUAGCAGCAGCUUAUGUAUACUAGAUCUUUAAAAUUUAUGAAAAACAAAUGUUUCACAGCAGCAUGUCCAUGGAUGAAAACUGAUAAUGGGCCUGCAAUUUAUGACCCAAUACGCAAUCAAACCGGCCCAAUGUAUUAGAACACGUGGUGAAUAUGUGUUUAGGUGAGAACGGGAUUUGGAUAUACACACUGUCACUCACUAGUCACUACUGUAAUCAUACUGCUCCAUCGAAUUACCUCCAGAAGCGAAGACGACAAACAAGACAUGGCAGAUGUUGUUGUGCUCUCUAAAAGCAUAGUUCGACCCGAUGGAUCGGAUUCGGAUCGGGUAAAGAUCCAUCUAACUCCAUGGGAUCUCUUCUUCCUUCGAUCAGACUACCCGCAAAGAGGUCUCCUCUUUCCAAAACCCGACCCGGAAACCGAUAUAAUCUCACAACUCAAAUCCUCUCUUUCGGUUGCGUUGAGUAUCUUCUACCCAUUCGCCGGCAGACUAGUCAAGACCGAGAACGAAAACGACGAAACGGCGUCGUUCCUCGUAGACUGCGAUGGUUCAGGCGUCAAGUUCAUCCACGCUUCAGCUAAAACCGUCUCGCUGAGUGACGUUCUAGAACCGGUCAACGGCAUCGUCCCCGAGUUCUUGAACCGUUUCUUCCCGGCUAACGGAGUCAAGAGCUGCGAAGGGGUCUCUGAGUCGUUGAUCGCGUUCCAAGUAACGGAGUUAAGAGACGGAGUCUUCAUCGCGUUCGGCUAUAACCACAUGGUCGCAGACGGAUCUUCCUUCUGGAGCUUCUUCAACACUUGGUCGGAGAUUUGCUCCACCGGAGUUGACCGGGAUAAAAAGUUCCCGCCUCUGCUUCUCCGCGGCUGGUUUCUCGACGGGAUCGAUCACCCGAUUCGAAUCCCGAUCUCGGAGACGGUGAUACCGUCUCCUCCGGUUGCUUCUUCGUCAUCGUUGCUACGAGAGAAGGUCUUUCGAUUCACGAGAAGAAACAUCUCCGAGCUCAAAUCGAAAGCAAACGGAGAAGUUAGCUUCGAUGAUCGGAGAAUCUCGUCGCUUCAGGCGGUUUCAGCGCAUAUGUGGCGAUCGAUUAUCAAAAACAGUGAUUUGAAUCCGGAGGAAGUGGUUUACUGCAAGUUACUGAUGGAUAUGAGACGGAGACUAAACCCUCCGCUUGAUAAAGAGUGUUUCGGAAACGUCGUCGGAUUCGCGACAGCGACGACAACGGCUGGAGAAAUGGUUAGUAAUGGGCUGGGUUGGGCCGCGUUGCAGAUAUUAUUACAAGAGAGAUAUGUGGAACCUUAACGACUCACCUGAUCACCACGAAGAAUCCGACGGUAGAUGGAAACGGGCUGGAGAUGUACCAAUCUCUAUGAGAUCAUCGACCACGUGUCUGUUGUCUGUUCCUCCGGUGACCCGAAAUUUUUUUCCGAAUCAAAUCAUGGAACAGGAAGUUCCAGGAAUAUCUGGGUCCGGUAUCACUAGAAACCAAUGUCUUGUUCGGUCGGAUCCUAGCGGGUCUGGUCGUCCGGAAAACCUAGAGCUGGAGAUAACACCGCCGGUAAAAAAGAGCCGACGUGGUCCUCGUUCCCGGAGCUCUCAGUAUAGAGGAGUUACUUUUUACCGACGAACCGGAAGAUGGGAGUCACAUAUUUGGUAACUUAAUUUUCUUAACCCUACGAUAUACCGAAUACUAUUAUUGCAUAUAUGGUACAUCCAUCAAAUCCAAGUUUCAUUUCAUUCGGGCCAAUACCUUAUUGUUAUUUUUAAAAUAUGUGUUGGAAUAUUAUGCAGGGACUGCGGGAAGCAAGUGUACUUAGGUAUGAUCAUGUAAUGUUGUUCAAACACAGAUCAAAUAUCCUAUUGAAACUAAGUUGUGUUGUGUCUGUCCAUUUUUAUAUGAUUUCUUCGACCAAAUAAAGGUUUUAUUAUCUCCUUAUAUUACUUUUUGUUACAUAUUCAGGUGGAUUUGACACAGCACAUGCCGCUGCUCGGUAUGUUUUACUCAUCCAAAUAUGAUCAAUUAGAACGAAUCUAAUAUUCCUUAUUUUGUAAUUUGCUGAUAUACAAAUUAAUUUGGGUGGGUAACUGUUUGGGACAGUGCCUACGAUAGAGCCGCAGUUAAGUUUAGAGGUGUAGAUGCAGAUAUAAAUUUCAAUAUUGAAGACUAUGUGGAGGAUUUGAAACAGGUAAAAUAUUUAUUAUUUGUAGGUUCAAGCAAUUGACUUAGAUUAUUACUCGAACAUAAAACAAAUUAAUAUUUGUUGCAGAUGAGCAGUUUGACAAAGGAAGAGUUCAUGCAUGUCAUUAGAAGGCAAAGCACUGGGUUUCCAAGAGGCAGCUCUAAAUAUAGAGGUGUCACUUUGCAUAAAUGUGGAAGAUGGGAAGCUCGAUUGGGUCAAUUUCUCAACAAAAAGUAAAACUACACAAAUAAUAUGGGGUCAUUUUUUUUUUUGAAAUGUUUUGUUUUUCUUAUGGAUAUUUAAAAUUUGGUACUGUAUUGUUUGCUUUUUAUUUAUUUUCAGGUACGUUUAUUUGGGUCUCUUUGAUACCGAGAUGGAAGCUGCAAGGUACUGUUUUAUUAUUGUUCAAUGUCUCAUCAUCACGUUUCCAAAACAAUAGUAUUUAUGUUUGGGCAAAAGAAAAGCAAUAGUAUCUGUUUUGUUUAAUUUCUUCUUCGUGCUUUUUGAAUUAUAGAGCAUACGAUAAAGCAGCAAUAAAGUCUAAUGGAAAAGAUGCAGUUACCAAUUUUGACCCUAAAGUAUAUGAGGAACAGCAUAAUAGCCCAGGUAACUUGAUUUUACGUUUCCGCCUAUAAAAACUACAUAUACAUUUUUUUUACUCCAGUCACCAAAUUUUACUCACGGUAACCACAUUUUAUCACGGUAACAAUCAUCAGAGAAGCAGUGGGAUGAUCAUAACCUUGAUCUAAGUCUAGUUGAAUCAAACUCGGAAGAGUUUGGAACCAAAUCUGAGGUAAGUUAAGUUGUUCAUGUUUUUAUAAAUUUAAUGUGUGAAAAAAAGAUAAAUAGUGAUUAUGGUCUAAACUGAUACAUUUUAAAGACUGCGAGCAUGAGAAAUGGAUUUAGAGACGAGGAGAGACUAUUAGGGAGCCAUCUCUCCCUAGCGAUGACGACAACAGCGACUGUCGGAUCAGAGAAGCCAUUGGACGGUGGAGGAAAGCGAGUGGGAAUGGCGGCAUCAUCAGGAUUCUCUCCUCGCUUUCCUCCUUGGAACCACCACACUCCUCGCACCUUCCACUUCUUUCGUCCCUGAUUCACCAUCAUCAUCACAGUCACUCAUACAACAAAUGUUUUGGAGAAACUUUCCAGGAGCUAUUUUUCGGCUGUGUGGUGUGUAUGUAUUACAUAUAUGUUCUUGUGUCCAUGUAAGACUUUUCUUUCUGUAAUUUAAUCAUACAACAAAUGUUCGUGGCCCACAUCCUACAUGGUAUCCCCUGUACAUAUUGGAGACUUCUGUUUCAUCAUUUACCAUCUCAUCACAUGCGCUUAGUAACUUAGUUAGGUUUCGAGUCCGGAUCUAGAGAAUACCAUGCACACAACCCAACCGCAAUUUCAGAAAAUAUUAUACCUAAAUGGGUUUUAACGAAAAAAUGUACAUCCGAAUAAAUUUAGGUUUUCUGAGUGAAGUUGGGUUGGGUUGGGCUGGGUUGUUGACAUGGGCCACCCCUAAUAUCGGGACCAAUUCUUUUUUUUUUUUUGAGGGUCAAACAUUGAUAAUGAGAUCCACGUAUUUUUGUCCAAUAUUAUUCAACAAAAAGUAACAAAUAUGUGAUUUAAAUUUUCUAGCUAAUGGAGUGAAUAUGUUUUAUAAUUGUGAAUCACUGGACAUACAUGUGUCUUGCACUAGCUAGUUUUAUAGUUGUUUGAUAAUUCGACAUGUGUAUUGCACUAAUAGUAUAUAUUUACUAGUAUCACUAUCAAGUUGAUAAACUAAAGAUAAAGUGAUAGCGACAUACGAACCAAUCAUACAGAUUAGCCACCAGUGUUUAAAGUUUAUUGUUAUUACAGUAACAAAGCGCCAGAAAAUAAAAAAAAUAUGAAAAGCAACUCUGAGAGCCACAUAAAAGUCACAAAAACACAAUAAUGUAAGACUAUAAACAUGUUUAUAGGUCUUUUUUUCAUUUAGAAUACGUAUGGGGCUUGUAGAAAUUAACAAUGAUCACCAUAAGAACUACUAGUAGGAAAGAAACUGAGCCUCACGUAACCAAAAGACCUCCAUUAAAUUUAAACCGAUGGAAGAAGAAGAAGAUUUGGUGGUGGUGAUAUCAAGGAGCAUCGUGAUCCCCAGAAACGCCAAGAAAUCGACUUCCUCCAAGAAGAAGAUCCAUCUGCUUCCUUGGGAUCUCUCUCGCCUCCGCUUCGGUUAUCUUCAAAGAGGUCUCCUUUUCUCCAAACCUUAUCCAAAAAUCGACACAGUUCUCUCAAAGUUACAAACUUCACUCUCUCUAGCACUUGACCGUUUCUACCCUUUAGCUGGUCGUCUCGUAAAGGUACAGAACGACGACGACACUGUCUCCUUUUACAUCAACCCCGAUGGCUCAGGCGUGGAGUUCGUUCACGCCUCAGCUACAAACAUCGAGGUCAGUGAUGUCCUUAGAUUAUCUACUUCUCUCAGCUCCUUCUUCCCCGCUACUGGGGUCAAGAACUGUAACGGCGUCUCGAGAUCUCUCCUCAUGGUUCAAGUGACUGAGAUGAAAGAUGGGAUCUUUAUCGGUUUCGGUUACAACUCCACUGUAGCUGACGGAGAUUCGAUCUGGAAGUUUUUAAACGCGUGGUCUGAGAUCUGCUCCAAGGGUUUGGUUCCCGAACCUUGUCAGCGUCGUCUUCAGCUUAAAGGUUGGUUCUUUGAGGAGAUUGAGUACCCGAUUCGGAUCCCAGACCCGGAGGCAAAACCAGCUAGGGUCACAACAGCUUCGAGUGGUUUACAGGAGUUGAUGUUUCAUGUCACAAAGGAGAAUGCUUUGAAACUUGAAGCUAAAGCCAACGAUGAGAAAGUGUCGUCAUUACAAGCGGUGUUAGGACAUUUAUGGUGUUCGAUGGUUAAGCACAGUGGGAUGAGCAGAGAGGAAGAGACUCAUUGCAGGUUACCUAUAGACAUGAGGAGAAGGGUGGAUCCACCGUUGGAAGAAGACUGUUUUGGGAACGUGAGUCAGACCGGGAUAGCGAAAGUCACGGUUGGUGAGCUGAUGGAUAAUGGAUUAGGGUGGGCGGCUGGGAAGAUAAACGAUAUGGAGCGGUCGCAAACGCAUGAAAACGCGGAAGGGAAUGCGGAGAAAUGGGUGAGAGAUGUGAAGAUUCCGGUUUCGGUUGGUAGUAAAGAUUUGGUUGUGACGAGUUCUCACCGGUUUGAUGUGUAUGGAAAUGAUUUCGGUUGGGGUAAACCGGUAGCUGCGAGAGCUGGACCGCCGUAUGUGAGUGGGAGAAUGGUUGUGUUCCAAGGGGUUGAAGAAGGGAGUCUUGAUUUUCAGGCUUGCUUGCUGCCUCAAGUAGUGGAAAAGCUAUCAGAAGAUGUUGAUUUUAAAGAGUUUGUGAGCAUUGUAUUAUGAUGGUUUGAUGACUUGGUUCAACAAUUUGGAUCGAAUUUAAAAUGUGUGUGUGUGUGUGUGUGUGUUUCUUCCUUUUCUGAUUGUUUGUAAUUCAUCAACCUGGUCACAUGAAAUUCUCAGAUGGCCAUAAACAUUUUUAAAAUAAAUUUGAAUAAUUUUUCUUUAGUUUGGAAGUAGCAGCAGCUUAUGUAUACUAGAUCUUUAAAAUUUAUGAAAAACAAAUGUUUCACAGCAGCAUGUCCAUGGAUGAAAACUGAUAAUGGGCCUGCAAUUUAUGACCCAAUACGCAAUCAAACCGGCCCAAUGUAUUAGAACACGUGGUGAAUAUGUGUUUAGGUGAGAACGGGAUUUGGAUAUACACACUGUCACUCACUAGUCACUACUGUAAUCAUACUGCUCCAUCGAAUUACCUCCAGAAGCGAAGACGACAAACAAGACAUGGCAGAUGUUGUUGUGCUCUCUAAAAGCAUAGUUCGACCCGAUGGAUCGGAUUCGGAUCGGGUAAAGAUCCAUCUAACUCCAUGGGAUCUCUUCUUCCUUCGAUCAGACUACCCGCAAAGAGGUCUCCUCUUUCCAAAACCCGACCCGGAAACCGAUAUAAUCUCACAACUCAAAUCCUCUCUUUCGGUUGCGUUGAGUAUCUUCUACCCAUUCGCCGGCAGACUAGUCAAGACCGAGAACGAAAACGACGAAACGGCGUCGUUCCUCGUAGACUGCGAUGGUUCAGGCGUCAAGUUCAUCCACGCUUCAGCUAAAACCGUCUCGCUGAGUGACGUUCUAGAACCGGUCAACGGCAUCGUCCCCGAGUUCUUGAACCGUUUCUUCCCGGCUAACGGAGUCAAGAGCUGCGAAGGGGUCUCUGAGUCGUUGAUCGCGUUCCAAGUAACGGAGUUAAGAGACGGAGUCUUCAUCGCGUUCGGCUAUAACCACAUGGUCGCAGACGGAUCUUCCUUCUGGAGCUUCUUCAACACUUGGUCGGAGAUUUGCUCCACCGGAGUUGACCGGGAUAAAAAGUUCCCGCCUCUGCUUCUCCGCGGCUGGUUUCUCGACGGGAUCGAUCACCCGAUUCGAAUCCCGAUCUCGGAGACGGUGAUACCGUCUCCUCCGGUUGCUUCUUCGUCAUCGUUGCUACGAGAGAAGGUCUUUCGAUUCACGAGAAGAAACAUCUCCGAGCUCAAAUCGAAAGCAAACGGAGAAGUUAGCUUCGAUGAUCGGAGAAUCUCGUCGCUUCAGGCGGUUUCAGCGCAUAUGUGGCGAUCGAUUAUCAAAAACAGUGAUUUGAAUCCGGAGGAAGUGGUUUACUGCAAGUUACUGAUGGAUAUGAGACGGAGACUAAACCCUCCGCUUGAUAAAGAGUGUUUCGGAAACGUCGUCGGAUUCGCGACAGCGACGACAACGGCUGGAGAAAUGGUUAGUAAUGGGCUGGGUUGGGCCGCGUUGCAGAUAAACAAAACUGUUGGGUCGCAGACGGAUGAAGGAUUCAGAGUGUUCGCUGGGAAUUGGGUGAAGAAACCGAAGAUACCGAAUCAUGUGGCUGUGAGUAGUAAUUCUGUGAUUGUUGCUAGCUCUCCUUGGUUCAAUGUGUAUGGAAAUGAUUUCGGUUGGGGUAAACCGAUCGCGGUUCGUGCUGGACCGGGUAAUACUAGCGAUGGUAAGCUCAUUGUUUAUCCUGGGAUUGAAGAAGGAAACAUCGAGAUUCAGACUUGUUUAUCUUCUCACGUUUUGGAGAAGUUAUCGGCUGAUGCUGAGUUUUUAGAGCAUGCAUGUGUUGUAUAAGUAAAGUAAUGGAAAUGAAAUGUUAAUUUGUCUAUGUUCUUUGAAUAAAGGAGUGAACUUUUAUAUGUUUGUUUGGAUUAUUCAAGUUUUUUUAAUGGUACUAGAGGGUUGGCCCGGGCUACGCCUGGACUUUUCUGUAAUUUGAAAUUAAAUUUUUAAUUUUUUUUAUUUCAUUAUCUUAAAUAUACAAUGAACCGGUCAUACAAAUACACAACAACAGAUAAAUAAAAAUUUGCUAUUGUUUUACUAUGAUGAAUGAACUUUAAUUAUUUGUACUCAUGUCUCUGAAUUUUCAUAUUUGAAAAUAAUGUUCAAGAAAACAAGCUACAUGAAUAAAAGUUAAUUAAACUUGAGAUAUGAUCAAAUAGUCUUUUAUCUUGUUCGUUCAAGUUUUUAUGAAAAAAUAAAUUUAGUUUACAACUGAUUUUUGUUUUUGUUUUUCAAUUAGCUUUGAAAUAAUUGAAUUAUCGUCUCCAAUCUUAAGUACAAACUGACAUAUCAGUUCUUUUGGUUCAGUGAUAAAUCGAUCUAAUUAUAUUAUUUACAGAUAUGCAAUCUUGGUCUGAACCAAAAAAAUCAAUUUUUAGCUAUAAUAUCUUUCACUUUCUGUGUCUUCCUUGUAGUUAUACCUUUUUCAUAAACAUUUUAAUCACCAUUUUUCUUUCUCUGGGCGUAAUGAAAUCUUUCAUGGAAAACCCUUCGAUGAGACUGUUAUACUCAUUUUGUGAAACUCAAGGGGGAGAAUUAAUAAUACAGUGACUUUCUCUAAUUUAUAUAAAAUUUGGGAUGGAAUUUAACUUGGAUGAUAAAAAUUCAACUGGUAUGGAUUCUGUGCAAUGUGUUCUUACCCAUAUAUAACUUGAUCAUGAUAUGAUUCUACUAACUCUAGCCAGCACAUUUCCGAAUUUGCUUUCAUACUGUUAUUUUUUAGUUCAUGAAAGUUUUAAGAGAGGCUUCUUGUCCAUGAAGCACUGACAAUUACGGAUUUACCUUAAUUUUAAUAACAAAUAACAUUUUUUCUGGUUUUGUUGACACGUCCGUAUCUACACUUUUGAUCUGGCCUCACAAUGUACCUCUCUCCCUCUCCUUGCCAUCCUGUCCGCCGCAAUAAAAUCUCCAUCCAGCACCACAACCUUCGCCAUCCCACUCUCUUCGUCCACCUUAAACAUCUUUCCUGCUGCGCUGCACCACCAAGAGGUAUCCUUUGCUGUUGUACACGAUCGAUCCCGUUCAAGCUGCAAUCUCGGACGCUUGCAUCCGCGUCUGCAGCUGGCAGCUGCGAGUUAAACAAUGGUGAUCUGGAGAAGUUAGAGGCUAUGCCGUCAUGAUCCACAGAUGAAGUCUUUGGCUGAGUUGAUGACGUAACCGUUCCCGAUCUUAUCUACCAAUGGGUUAAUUUAAAUUUUAAUACGGGCCUAUAUAAUAAAACUCACCAGAAACAAAAGUAUCGUAUCAUUUAUGUUGAUGCCAUGUGUUCUCAUUGGGCCAGUAGUGUUUUGUUUGGGCCAUGAGUGUUUGGUAAAGCUGGGCUGUGAAGAUUCUUAAUUAUUGGGCUGAAACACGCUAUCUGCUCAUCGGUUCGAUAAGAAAGCACGUGAUCUGCUCAUCCCAAGUUAUUUCAUUAUUGGCAAGUCUGCGAUGACCUGUCACUUUAAUUGGUCAGGAAUAUUUCAUCCAACGUGGCACUCUUUAGAAGCUCUAAAAAUAGUUUCUUUUAUAUAGUAGUGAUUCGAACUUAUCAAUAGAGUCGAAAUCGUAACUGAAAUCUAAAAACGAAAGGCAGCGAUGGCUCACUGGCUAAUCGUUGUGAUACCACAUCGAUUUUGGUCUGGUAAACAGAUUAUUAUGUAUGGCUGGAGCCUAACCGGGGAAUAGAUUUAGUGGUAAAUUCGCAAUUCUUUUAUGUGGAUUUAAAUUGCUCUCGUCACAAUUUGUGGCUUGUGGGCUUCAAAAUCAUGAUAUAGGUAGGCAUGUUUACAAAUUUUAAGAAAGAUUUGAAGAAAGUUGAAAGAAUCUUUGUGAGCUAAAAGUCUAUCCAGGUUAUUUUUCAUCUUCUGUUUACGUAAACUAAUGAAUAAUAUACAUGUAAAUAAACUAUUGACCAACCGUGUACCUCUUGCAUAAGCUCAUUGAGCACGAAACAUACAAAAUGAAAGAAAAAUAAUAUACAGAUAACAACGUCACGUCAAAUUAAAGCAGUCGUAUCUGUAUAUUUCUCUGGUGAACAUUUUAACACAAAAAAAAAAGGAUUUAUGCGUGAAAAUGAAAAUUAAGGAUUUGAUUAGGCUUUAGGGUGUGGCACGUGACACGUGGCGUAUAAAAGAGAAAGACGGAGUCUAGAGAGUACUUUCCCACGCAAAAUAUUGGACCUUCGUAAUAAUAAAACUCAUUAAAUUAAAAUCUUAUAACGAUUCAAAACUAUGACGGAACGAUGACCACAUCUUUUGUACUUAAUACAAAGAAAAUGACAACAUCUGACAAUUUAUGAAGAACUAUUGAAGAGAUUUGCAUAUAUACAGACUGACUUUCUGCAAAUAAUCAUUCAACAAGUUCUUUAUUAUAAGAAAUGGAUGAAGAAGCAGCGAUCGAUCGUUUACCUUUACACCUUCUUGCUUAUAUAUUUUCUCUGGUCACCUCUUUCACCGAAUUGGCCCAGUAAGUGUUUUGAUUUUUGUUUCUUUCAUUAAAGGAAACAAAUUUGAAGUUUUUUUGAUGAAUUUGUUUUUGUAGAGCAAGUGGGGUUUGUAAGAAAUGGAGAAAAGCUGUGAACCAAUCCAUGGCAAGAAGACAAUCUCUGAGCUUUGCUGGUUGGAAAAUGGACGAUGAUUCCACUUCUCGUCUCGUUCAUCUCGCUUACAAUCUCAAAGAACUCGACAUGUAAUCUCUCUCUCUCUCUCUCUAUGUGCUUGAUUUGACCUUCAAUGGUGGAUUUGUAUCCAUAUUUAGAGUCUAAAACUCUGGUCAAGUUUCCAACUUUACCUUCAGGGUUUUGAAGACAUUGACUUGGUCAAUCAAUACAUUACAGAACAUCCAAAAAAAAAAACUCUGUUUCUUCAUAUAGUUUUAUGUUUUGUCUGUUUUUGCAGAUCUAGAAGCAGAUGGGGUUGUCAUAUAACUGAUAAUGGUCUUUACCAAAUAGCUUCUGCUAGAUGUGUAUCUAGUUUAACCUCAAUCUCUUUAUGGGGCAUGACCGCCAUUACUGACUCUGGUGUUGUUCAACUGGUAAUCAUCUAUCUAAUAAUGCCUUAAAAUUGGAAUCUUGAAUAUUCAUUUUUUUAUCAUCUUAAAAAAAAAAGAAUCUUUUAUUUCUUGGUUUGAUAGGUAUCAAAAACUUCUUCCUUGCAACAUCUGAACAUUGGAGGAACAUUCAUCACCGACGAGUCCCUUUUCGCCAUUGCAGAACGCUGCCAUCACCUUAAGGUAAACCAUAAUCUAAUCUCUUUGGUUUUGUCUGAAGUCAUAAACUGGUUCUUUUAUGCUUUAUGCAGACAAUCAGUAUGUGGUGUUGCCGCCAUGUGACAGAGAGAGGCCUUCUUGUUCUCGUCAACAAAUGUAGAAAACUAGAAUCUCUCAACUUAUGGGGAACUAGAGUUCCUGUUGAUUGCUUCAUUGCUUUACUUACCAUCAGUCCUGCACUUCAGAUCAAACCCAUUCAGUUACUCCUCAAUGCUCAGAAUCCACCACCACCUUUGUUGCAUGCUGUCUAGUCUUUUGUUGCUUUCCUUUGUAUAUAGUAAUUCAUAAAAAAACUGAAAUCUCCAAUUCUCUUAUGUGUUCUCUCAUCAAUAAAAAGAUUAUAUAAAUUAUUCAGUAAAGAUUCUAUAUAUAUUUAUAUAAUAAGUUGCAUAAAGAUUCAACAGAAGCUGAAAGACACACACACAUACACACACGCUUUCUGACUAUAAAAUCUGCAGUCUACAAAUACAAGAAUCAAAAUCAGAAAACUCUUUCUAACGCCAUUUCAUAUAUAUCCUCAACUUAAGGAUCUCUCUAGAAGUUGAAUUGGUUUGGUUGUGUCAUAGCAAAAACACCAGCAAUGGAAGCCAUGAGAAGCACAAGACAAGAACGGUGUUUGGUGAAUAGGCAACAGCAGCUAAGGAUCUUGAGAACUGAACUGAACCUGAGUAGGUCCCAGCAGUUGAGUCCAUGUCUGGAGCUCUUGUCUGAAGAGUAACGUUUUUGCACGAACCAAAAGCUGCUUCUGGCUGAUAACAUCAAUAAACCCAAUGUUUUUUAGAUGGUUCAGGCUUGUAAAAUAGAGAAGCUAAUAUUAUUUUAUUACCUGGCAGGCAGCAAGAGUUUCACAACCGCAAAUAACAGGUCCAUUCAUUCUGUCAAGAACUUCGAAAACGCCUCCUCCGUCACUUCUCUGCAAUGGUUUUGUUUAAUAAAAUGUAAUAUAUUCUAGUUUUAACUAUUGAUUGAUUCAGUUACCAUGUAGAAGUUAACAGCGAGAAAGUUUGGCAUUCUGUUCCCAGCUGACUUGAGACAAGUCCCAACCAUCUCAGCAAGUGGAGCUGAGUGUUCCUUGCAAGCAUCUUUCUCUACCGGAAACGUCGGAAAGUAGUUCAUCAAGAAAAGAGAUGAGCUUUUUGAAUUCAAAGGCUGUGACUCUUUUCUGUUCGGACAAGAACCUCGCUUCACACCAGGAUCUCCAGCUUUUAACACAAGACAAGGUUAUUCAAAGACACUUCCCUCCCAAUAAAAGAUGUAAAAUUUGUUGAGAGAGUGAUGAUACUCACAUUCGUUUUCCACAAUGUAUCUCCACUGAUAAGCAACGCCUUCUUCAUCUUCUUUAGCGGCAACAGAAGUGAAAACCAAGAGCCUGUGAUUCUCUUGCACCAUGUCAGUCACAGUAGGCCAGUCUUCUCCCCUUUUGGGCAUUUUGGAAACGGGAAACCAGUACUUGUCCAGACCAGCGUUUGCAAACAGAGUUGAUAGGCCUUUGGGCCUGUGCACAUAGUCCUCAAUGAUGAUGGUAACAAUCUCUGUUGGGUUCUGAGUCAAGAACGCCUCAACUUCCCUCAAUGUGUUAACUGCAGGUUGCUGAUUAAGGAAACAAACAAAAGGAUAACAAAGUUUCAAGCUUUGGAUCUAAAUAUAGUAAAAGAUGUGAAGAUGAGUUUUUACAAAGGCAGUGAAGUUGAAGCAUUGGCCUCGGAGAGAAUGGCAAAGCCAGAUAUCGUCGUUGAAGUCAUACAUAUCCAGCAUUAGUCCUCUAACUCCAUUCUACAGCAAAAUGUAAAACCAACAUUCAAAGAGUUUUUUACCACAAAAGAAGUAACAUGUCAAAAUAGUAAUGAGAAGAGUCCUCCUUAUUACUCUAAGCUGAUUAGUAACAGUAUCUUCUUGGUUGAAGAAUGUAAGCCUCUGAACACCUGGCAAAGGCGGUUGAUUUGCAUUGCUAAAGGCAUUAUGAGUCAUCAACCAUGUAUACUUGUUAAAAGGCAAUCCAUUGAUCUACACAAUUAAGAUAUAUAUAUAUAUAUAUUUGAUUAUAAAUGAAAAGGAACCUUUUUUAAAAAAAAAAUCUAAACAAAAAUAAAAUUUUAAAAUUAUUUAAUAAUAAUUAAGAAAAUUAUUAAGCAUCGGAUAAGUUUAAUAAAAUAUUAAACUAUUACCUAAGAAAGUGUAUGAUGUUGUCAUUGACUGGAUUGGUCUUAUUUAACUUUUAAAUUUUUUUAUUCUAAUUCUUAAUUCAGGUUGGGUUGAGUUUAAAGUUAUAGGUAUGAAUGUUUUCUCUACCACUAAGUAGAAAGUUGAUAAAAAUUCACCUGCAUACCAUGAUUAUAAAAUACAAAUAUUAACUGAAAUUUAUGUGUAAAAACGAGUUUUUAAUUAUAAAAUAAGUAUCACACAAUAUAUGCAAAAACAAUCCUAAAAAUAUAAUAAAAUGAUUUAUUACUUUUUUCUUUAUUAAAUUAAAAUAUCAAACAAAACCCGUUGUAACGCACGGACUCAUAUCUAGUAUAUAUAUAAAGUAUAGCUUUUGGCAUGAACUGAACGUUCGUCAUAAGAAGAUAUAAGAAUAUGAUGGUUACCAACUUAACUCUAAUACUAUAAUUAUAUAAUAUAAUAAUACUAAUUACAUAAAAAAAACGAAAAUAAUAAUAAUGGAGGUAGGUCUAUAAGCCGGAAAGAAAAUUCGGAUAGAAAACCAACGGAAUUUCCGUGAUGCACAUUAAUAGAAAAAUGGUCAUCAUAUCAUAUUACAUUCACAUUAUUUUAUAUAAUUCAAUUAAUCAUUACAUAAAAAUUGGGAUAAAAUAAUGAGAAUUUGUACUCCAUACACACAACAUUUACCCUAUUUGCACUCCGUAACUUAUUUCCCCCCAAUUUUCUUUCCCACGUCAUUACCAAUUUUCCCUCAUUCUAUGAUAUCCCAAUUUGUUUAGUAUAUUAAUUUGCUCAGAAAUAAUUGGCAAACUGGCGAGAAUGUAAUGAUUGGCCCACGCUAAAACGUCGUCGUAACGAAGCUCCCAUCAUCAAUCGAAAACGGCAUCGUUUCGGGUGGCUCACACUUGUCUCCAUCGUUUCUCUCUUUAUUUACCACCCCCCCCCACCACCAACAGCCUUUCAUCUCUCUCCGGUUGACCCGAUAAAGUUCUCUAGCAGAGACGCACGGAUCUCUCUCUCUCUCUCUCUUCUUCGUAGAUCUGCUCGUUAUCGAACCUCCGUAUUACGUCAUCUGAGGUACGUUCCCCUUCUUCUUCCUUUUCUUGAAAAUCGAAUUUGGUCAAAGCUAGGGUUUGAUCUUCAUCUGAUUAUCGCAGAUCGGAACCUCUCGUUCUCAGAUCUAUGCUGUGUUACCAGAUCUGUAAUUAUAAUGGCGGAGACUCUCAAAGAAGACUCAAUCACGAUUCGGGAGGUCUGGAACGACAACCUCCUCGAGGAAUUCGCGCUAAUCCGUGAGAUCGUCGACAAAUUCACCUACGUCGCGAUGGACACGGAGUUCCCCGGCGUGGUCCUCAAGCCCGUCGAGACCUUCAAGCACAACAACGACCUCAACUACCGCACCCUCAAGGAGAACGUCGACCUCCUCAAGCUCAUCCAAGUCGGCCUCACCUUCUCCGACGAGGACGGCAACCUCCCCACCUGCGGCACCGACAAGUUCUGCGUCUGGCAGUUCAACUUCCGCGAGUUCAACAUAGGUGAAGACAUCUACGCGAGCGAGUCCAUCGAGCUUCUCCGCCAGUGCGGGAUCGAUUUCAAGAAGAACGUCGAGAGCGGGAUCGACGUGGCUCGCUUCGGGGAGCUCAUGAUGUCGUCUGGGAUUGUGUUGAACGAUUCCAUCUCGUGGGUUACUUUUCACGGAGGUUAUGAUUUUGGUUAUUUGGUGAAGCUGCUGACGUGUAAGGAGCUGCCGGUCAAGCAGGCGGAUUUCUUCAAGCUGUUGUAUGUGUACUUCCCCACGGUUUAUGAUAUCAAGCAUUUGAUGACGUUCUGCAACGGGCUGUUUGGAGGGUUGAACAGGCUCGCGGAGCUUAUGGGUGUGGAGAGAGUUGGGGUUUGUCAUCAGGCGGGGUCGGAUAGCUUGCUUACGUUGGGGUCGUUUAGGAAGCUUAAGGAGCGGUAUUUCCCUGGGUCGACUGAGAGAUACACUGGUGUGUUGUAUGGUCUAGGUGUGGAAGAUGAUGGUACUAAUGUUGCUAAUUAAGAGGAAAAUAAUAAAGCAAGCUUAAUUAUUGAGAGAAGUGGAUUAUUAGGUUUUAGGAUUUGUGAGUGUGAAGAAGACCAAUUAGAACUUGUCUGUGUGUAAAUUGGCAAAAUUUGGUUUUAGUGACUCUUGUGUCUUUGUUGUUCUGUCUUUCAGAAAAACCCCCCCUUUGAUCAAAUUAGGGGUUUUUGUUUAGCUUUGAGUUUCUGAAUGUAUAUCAUCUCAGCUACCCGUUUCAUUAAUAAAUAAUCCCCAAAUUAUAAUUUUAUUUUGCUUUCUUGUUCUUAGUAAUGGCUUUGCAUACCAGACUUAUAUAACUUGCUAGUUAUAGAUUAAGUUAGAUUAACUUGCUUGGCAGAUCAUUGUUAUUGGUACAUUCAAGACGAUCACUUCAAGAAUUGGUUAACAAUGUCCCUUGUUAAACUACUUUGGCUUCAUCCAAAACAAGGCAUCGAUUCAAAUUGAUAAACAAAGAAGCUUCAUUAAUAAUUAAAAGAUUAUAUCAUUGUUUUGGUCUAACAUGUACUUUGAAAAAAAGAAAAACCAAAGGGAAAAGCCAAAGAUAAACUAAUCAUAAUCUAAACCGAAUAGGGGAAAACUACAUCUUAAGCACGUUCUCCACGAAUCCUUCUGGCCAAUUGAAUAUCCUUGGGCAUGAUGGUAACCCUCUUAGCGUGAAUGGCACAGAGAUUGGUGUCCUCGAACAGACCCACAAGAUAAGCCUCCGCAGCCUCCUGAAGAGCUAAAACAGCGUGGCUCUGAAACCUCAGAUCCGUCUUAAAGUCCUGAGCAAUCUCGCGAACAAGACGCUGGAACGGGAGUUUACGGAUCAGCAACUCCGUACUCUUCUGGUACUUUCUAAUCUCACGAAGAGCCACGGUUCCUGGACGGUAACGGUGAGGCUUCUUCACUCCUCCGGUGGUCGGUGCAGACUUCCUCGCCGCCUGUGUAAAAGAAAUUCGUUAGAGACAAAGAUCACAAACUUCAAAUUAAACCCAAAUUCGAGAAACCCAGAUCGUCUACGUUCAUAAUGUGCCCAAUUCAACCUAAAUCGAGAACCCUAGAUUCGAUUUCAAUUACAAAGGUAGAGAAGAUCGAAAGAACAAACCUUGGUGGCGAGCUGCUUCCUGGGAGCUUUUCCUCCGGUGGACUUUCUUGCGGUUUGUUUCGUACGAGCCAUUGUCUUCUUCUCAAAGAUGCGAACUUUUUGAGGAUUCGAAGAAAGUUGCAAGAUGCGAGAUUUGUUUGAUGAGAAACAGUAAAAAGGUUGUCUCGUAUAUAUAGAUGAUGUUUGGUCGGUUAAUUUUGGGAGAUACAGAAGAAGUACGAAGUUAAUAUCUUCGACGGUCCAGAUCUGUUCAAUGAUUUAGAUAGCUGAUGUGGCAAUUAGCGCCUUCGCUUUUAAUUGGCUCAAUUCUUGAAAUGAUUGAUGACGUGGAGAGAUAUGUGUUUUUUGAAGUUUGGAGUGAUGUUAAUUUCGAAUCAUUCGUUCGUAAUUAGAAUCUUGGGCAGAGACGUGUUUCUCGACUCUGAUUAGACAAGCUCCGGUUCGGUUUCGAAAUCAAUUAAAUUUUGGGUCACGUCCGGUUCUGUUUUGAAAACGCAUUUAAAUUUUAAAACUCGAAACUCGGUUUUAAUUACUUCUCCUUCACUCAGAAGAGACGGCGCCAAAUCGCGGUAACUUUUUAUUCUCCGAUGGCUUCGACAUUCGUCGCUCUCCAUGAUAGUUAACCAAAUAAGUUCAAGUAGAGCUUACGUUGUGAUAUCUUACCUGUUAAAACAUUGUUUGUGAUUUGAUGUCACUUCGUUGAUUAUUGUUAGGCUAGUAGAGUAAUGGAGAAACAUAACUCAUUACAUAGAAAGACGAGGGUGUGGAUGCAAUGUUGUCGUAAGCUAAAAGUAUUUUUGAAUUACGAGGAGGUUCGGACGAAGCCCUAAUCACAUCAUGUAAUAUAUAUUAGUUUCGUCAAUAAAGUAUUAAUGUUUUUGCUUCCGUGUUCGUAGUAGUAAUGGCAUUGUAAUUGUAACUUCUGAGUCGUCAAACUAGACAAUGUUCAUGGAUGGCUGCUAGUUAGACUGAAAAGAAAGUCAAGUAGUACAAGAGUUGGUACGUGCACUCGAACCUAUGUACAUUUUUCAACUAUUCUACAAGCAUGAUUCAAAACGAUAAAUCAAUGAUAAUCGUUUAAAAAAAAUAUACCAAUAUUUUUUUUUUAUACCAAUAUUUUGAUCAAAAGAGCUCUUGAAAGUUUAAUAACAUGCAACGUAAUCUAAAGUUGAAGAAAUAAACAUGAAUUUGAGAUUUCCAAACGAAGCCAUCUCUUGAUGCGGUCCGCAAUUUCAUGUUCGUGUCAUUUGAGGCCACUCUUUUCAAAACACUAUGCUCAGGCCAGUAUAAUCAGUUUUUGUUGAUAGCAUUGCAAUAAUGGACUCUUGAAAUUAUUAACACCUGAGCCAAGCUCACUAGUAUAUCUACUGUAAUUAAGUAGCAACUGCUCUCAUAAAUAAAGCUUUAUGGUAUCAGUUUAGAAAUGUAUCUAUGUUAAGAAAAGUUUAAAUAUUUUUCACUAAUGGAAUACUAGAUCUGCGUAAUUCUGAAGUAAUUGAUGGCCAGCCCGAAAUAAAAACAAAAGUAAAGUAGUGACAAUGGGUAUUGCCUCUCUCUAUUGGCUCGGCCCAACAUUUUAUAACAACAAGGUUGGUUUUAAAAUAUUUCUAAACAACAUUCUUGAAUACAGCUAAGUUGAGUCACAUUGGAUUCCGAGGGUAAUGGAAUCCAGAAAAUAAGAAAAGAUAAACUAUGUGCUAUUUCAGAAUGGCCUAAGAUUCCCAAAUAGAUGUCAAAUGCAUAACUAAAAGUAGGCAAACAAUGUGGACAGAUAUGGACAACACAAAGAAGCAUUGAAGAUGAACGCAGAAGAGUGGAGAAGUGGUCCAUUAUAGAAUUUAAUUGCAUUUUGAAAGUGCUUUUUUUUUUUGUGUGUCUGUGGUCCAAUUUUGGAAGUGAACAAAGCCUAACUUUGGGGUUCUUAAGAGAAGCAGACAAAUUUCCUUCUCCUAGUUUUACCAUGACAUUAUAAAAAUAUAUGUAACAUGUUUUAACACUUCAUUUAGAUAGUUAUACUUAUUUCUAAAAGCAUAUUUGGAAUGAAUCGAGUGAGACAGAUAUACAUCACUAGAUUCACUAGAACAUACGACUCAUAGCUGAUUUAUCUACAGAUUUUUUUCCCCACUUUUUAUAAAGAAAGAAGACUAGUAAUACCAUUUAUCUUUCAUUGGUCAAGAGACGAAACACAAAACAACUAUUACUAUUAAAAAAAACACUUCCCAAAGUUUUUCACUUCCAAAAUAUAUAAAACAAAGUUUGAAAAAAUGACAAAACAUAUUACCAGUCAUAACUGUAUUCUCUUAACAAAUAAUUAACGGUUGUGUCUAAUCACCAAAACCAAAAAGAACUUGAUGAGUAGGACGAAGAAACCAAAUACUUUUUUCAGCUAUGUGGAUAAACCCAAUCUCUCCCUCUCUAUCGUUCACCCGGGACCAAGCCACCUUUAAUCUUCUACGGUUUGUCUACUUUGAAACGUUUCUAUCUUCUUCUUUUCUUUUUUGGUUGGAUAGUUUUAACCUUUUCCUUACUUUCUCUAUUAUUUGAUAUGAUCAUUUAGAGUUCCUAAAAUCAUGGUGGUUUUGGGCUACAGUACUUUUCUGUUCUUUUUUUAAUUGGAGCAAAGAUCUGAAUAUUAUAAUGUUUUGAUAAAUGAGCUGAUGUAGGAAUUUUUAAAUCAUUGACUAACAAACAACUUUCCAAAUCAAUGAACAUGUUCUCAACAGUGUUAUGAACGUUAUGAGACAAACGAAAUUCAAUCGAAAAACAUUCGUGGCCGCUUGUCUAUGUAUAUAAUUAUGCCUGCAAAGACAUGGAGGAACAACUUUGGCAGCGUUGCAAAGCAAAGUGAAAGAUGAGGAUAAAACAUCGGGGACGUUCCAUCAUUUUCGUACAUGAACCUGACAUAAAGCUUCCUAUGUUCUUUCUUUAAUCUUUCUUUCUUUAUAAUAUAUGAAGUAUUUGUGCUUUUCUAACUAAUAAUGUGUCGAUGUUAUUAUUGUCUAUGUUGUUAGCUAGUUUUUUAGUCUUCAUUGAUCACAAGCCAAGCGUAUAACAACUAAAUUAGCAAAAACAAAGCACCCCUAUCCAAGGCCGGCUGAGGAGGGGACAACCGGUGCGACCAUCCCGGAUCUAAGCCUGUGUCCUCCGUAUAUUAAUAGUUAAGAGGUCCAAUUUUUUUAAAAAACCUAUAUUUUUAUAUUAAAAAAAUUAUAAAUAUAAUAAAUAAAAUUGAAAAGGGUCCAAAAAUAUUUAAUAUACAUAUAAUUUUAUUUUCAUCACAAAAUAUACAAAAUAUUACUGAUUAAAUUUUAGAAAUAUUUUAAACAUUACCUGAAUAUAAAUUUUUGAGAAUAAAAAAAUAUUUUUUGCCAUAAGGUCCAUAACAAUGUUAACCCGGUCCUACCCCUAUUAAAUGAAACCUAACAACAUAGACAACAAUGGAGCUGCUACAUAACCAUCGUCCCCUUAUCAGCCUCAUUGUCUUUCCAUGAAUAAUUUUGUAAGAAAAAUAAUAGUUUUCAUUUUAAGAUGGAUGGAGAGAUAAGUCUAGUGUAUAAAUUUAGGAGCAUUUUGAUAAUUACCAAUCUAUAAUCUUCAGCUUAAAAUUUAAGUACCUAGCUAGUCUAAUUCACAAUAUGUUUCUAAUGUUUAUUUAAGUAUUUGACAUAAUUCAUAUUUGCUGGAAACAAAAAGGCACCAUAAUUAAUUAUGGUUAUUUGCUCUGAGAUGCCCUUUUUUGUCUUGUGAUCGAUAUAUACAAUUAAAUUGUGAUAGUUGACAUAUGACCAGCAAUCCCUAUGAGCAUCACAUACAUCCCUGUUUGUAGGCUAAUAUCAUUAUAUUAUAAACUCGACAUAUUAUAAGUUCCAUAUUAUAUACUAAUUGGGAAAAUAAUGUUAAUAAUAAUGUCAGUUAAAUACCAGAAUCUGUCGGAAACCACUCUUUUUUGGGUCCGAGUUUAGUGUUUUCAACAUUUUCUUUAGACCAUCUCAAAUGUAUUCUUCAAUUUUCUCUCCAAUGUAUUUCUCUAUUUUUUCUCUAUAAAGGAAUAUUCUUAAAAGAUUUUUUUUUAUUUUAUAAAUAAACAUUUAACUUAUAAAUGUUGCAAAUUAACCCAUUUAUUAUAACUUUUAAUUUUUUUCAUAAAAUUGCAAUAUUAUUUAAAUUAAACAUUUUAUUAAAAAUGACAUUAGAAAAUAAUAAUAAAACAAAAUAGACAUUAUCUAACCAUCUCAUUACUAUAUUUUCCCAUAAAUGGUCAAUUAAUACAUUCCGAAGUGAGAAAUGAGCUUCUUUAUUUUUGAUUUUUCUGAAUCAACUUAGAAACUCUUGGAACCGAUUAUCUUCAUCAUCUGGUAUUUGGACUUCUAGUGGUGGAGCUUCUCUUCCAAUACACUAUAAGAAAGAAAUAAACAAUUCUUAGAGAACCUAAAGAAGUCAAGUGAACAAAGACAAACAUCAGUUGGAGAUUCAAAGACAAAAUUUUGCUUUAAAACAGAUGAAGGAAAUUUUUUUUUUUUUGUGACGUAAAUUCCAUUGUCUGUGAACAUUUCCAAGUAAAGAAAGCACAUAUUUUACAAAAGCGCAGUCACUAGCAACAAAAUAAGCAAACUCCUCCUCCACCCACGUCGUUUGGACAAUAUUUUAACAUUUUUUGUGGAAUUUUUUCCCCUAAAUAUAGAGGAAAAAAUAGAAAUCUCUAUUAUGGGGAAAGAAAUAGAGGUGGGUUGGAGUAGAUUUUUCUCUAUUAUAGCAUAUAGAGGCAAAUAUAAGGGUGGGUUGGAGAUGUUUAGUAGAUUUAUAGACUUGUGAAAUUAUUAAAAAGAAAAAAAAAGAAGAACAUAUAUAUUUGAUUGAAAAAACAAGAAAAGAUAGACAAUUGAUGGUUUUUGUUAACAACCACACUGUCAUUUACUAAAAAAUAUUAAUAAUUUUGUUUAUGUCGCUAAUAUGGACAGCAUAAGGCGAUGAUUGGUAAGUGAUGUAGCUUUAUAUUUUUUGCUGUAGAAUUUAAUCUGUAGAUGUAUUUGCUGUAACUUUUCUUGCUGUAGAUUUCUAAAGCACUAAUUUUUUGCUUUGGAAAUAAAGCUUUUUACAGCCAUAUUUUGAUUUUGCAGAGAUUUUUUUGCUGUGAGUUUUUUAAGGAAAUCAAAACUCGAUUGAUUGACAUAUAUAGCUGUGGACUAAAUUUUAGCUGUCCAGAGCAUCUACAGUCCCAACCAAUAUCUCCUAAAUCUCUGAUUAAGAUUCUCCCUACUACGGUACCAGCCUACUCUCAUCUUGGUCCGGAGACAAUAAACAUGAGUAGGUCCAAAUCCAUUUUCAAGAAAAAUCUUAGUAUGUAUUAUUUGCGUAACAUUUAUGUUAAUGUGAGUGAUUAAUAGUUUGUAGGUUAAUAUUUAAUUAAGAAAAAGAAAGAAAAACAAUACUCCAGAGGAGAGUAGUCAUUACUAUUCAAAUUAGUCGAGCCGUGAAACAUAGGGCACUUCAUGUGGGGACAAGAGUGGUUAUGAAAUUGACGAAUGUGAUCGUUAAUGUGACUCCCUUCGUCCACUCACGUGUUAGUUGAUUCCACACGAAACACAGACCUGAUCACGCCGGAUGUUCUCUCGACGCAUGUACUACUCUUUGAUUAACAAUCAUCACGCACCUCACUGUUUGGAUAUUUUUCUUUGUUGUGGUAAUUUAGUCGUCGCAUUUAUCGGCUCUCGCGUGUAAAACGAGAAGCUUGCAAAUUUUUUUAAAAAUCUAACAAUAUAUUUACUCGCAAGCGAGAAACUUACAAAAAUCUAUAUUUAUUAAUGCCAGAUCUUUGGAUGCGGUCAAAUGGCUACAAACUCUCAUUAUUGGGUAGUUUUUUUCUUUAGCAAUUAUUUGACCACUGGUGACUAGUUUCAUAUUAAUGUCAAUUAUUGUACCAGUUAAAUAUAGUUUCCCAAAAAUAAUUUCACGAAUAUAUUUGACUUUUUAUUACAUGUAUUCAUUCUUACAUAACGGAGGCUACAUUAAAACGGAGCGAUUGGUAUAAAAGCAAAGUAGUAUGAUCUGAAAAUAUCUUAAACAAAGUAGUUAGAGAGAAAGUAGUGGAUGUAGAGAGGUUACGACUGGUCCAAGUGUUGUGCUCAAGCAUAUUAAUUAGAAGGCCUCUAUACCGAUCAACGUAGAUAUAUUUUGAUCGUGCAAAGAGUAAGGAGUGUUAUCGUUUUAAAUCUUUUUUGUACUAAUUAGCAACUGAUAUAUGUAAUUGAAGUUUUUUUUAUCUCAUCUAUUUGUUUGUUUACGUUUUCAAUGCUUCUGAUCACAUUAAAAUUUCAUGCUUCUACAUUUUAUGAACAUUUUAAUAUAGAUUUAUUUGAUAUAUAUACGUGAUAACUUUUAUUUUAUGUAUACUAAUUUUGGCUGAAGUCAUGAGUUCAUACCAAAAUUAAAAAAAUCCAUUUUUAAUUUACUUUCUGAUGGGACUAAAGUUUUCGUACUUUCGAUAAGACAGCAACUACGAGCUUAAGUCAAAUUUCAGAAACUGGUCCCCACUUCAUUUUACUGAUUGGUCCCUUAUUACAACCAAUAAUGUAAAUGUAAUUUGUACGGUUGGAUUCUCUUAUCUGAUCAGCAUGCCAUUUCUUUUAGGGACCACAGUUAGCUGAAAAGUGCUAUCUCGAUACGUGUCCAUCGAUAUUUUUGGCCGAGUUUAACGACGUCAGUAAUGGUCCCCCUUCCUCCUUGCUUUCGGUUUUCGAUUUUCUCUGAUUACAACUAUUCAUGGUCUAUAACAAACAAAUAUCUUUCUUGAGAUUAUUUAACUUUGCGCCAAACUCUCUGCAGAUUAUUUAGGGGUUCAACCACUAAAGUUGCUUGGUAAGAUACACUUUGUCAAAGUAAUUUUGAGUUUUAGUUCUGCAAAACCUAUGUUAUGUAGUAAAGAUGUUGAUGUAAUAUAAACUAGGUAUACAAAUCUGAAACAGAGCUCAAAAGUUAUUCAUGGUGAUGAAAUGAGUUUAACCAAUUCAUAUUGGUUUUGUGCUUAUUGGGUUUGCUUUGAAAAGUGAACAACUAGCUAGGGUUCAAACAUUUUCAAUGCGAUUUCAUUUUUGCUGAAAAUGAUGUUUACGUGGUAAUAAAACUCGUCUGCUUAACAUAUUUUGCAAAAUAGUUUAGGUUUCGUACAAAAAAAAUUGCAGCUAGAAAACAAAAAGAAGUUAAAAUGAGUUUCAUGAAUUCAGUUGCACUAAAAAUAUAAAAGCAAAGCAGGUAUAUAGUGAAAGAAAAAGAAAAUCCAAAAUAUUUUCCUCGAUAAUAGACAGAUACCAUUUGCUUAGUGACAAAAGAUUUAGCCAAGCUACACGGAAGAAAAUGGUACAAUACUUCCUUUUUAUCGCAAUUCGUAUCAAUAUCUUAUCAUACCUUUGCCGUCAACUCCUAACAUCUUUUUUUUUUUUUUUUUUUUGACAACAACUCCUACCAUCUUUAUUCUUAAAACGAUAGAACUUUUAGUUGUCGCAGUGAAUCUUAUUACUAUGUUACUACUUUAGACCAUGAUGGAGGUUUUUAAGGUGGGAUUUUUAGAGGAAUAUAAGAAUCCGUCUCUUAACUUUUAACUAAAAAAACUAAGAAUCGUUUUUAAAACUCUUAUUUAAGGGCCGGUUCUUAAUUUUUUAGUUAAAAGUUAAGAGACAGUUUCUUAUAUUCCGUUAAAAACUCCACCUCAAGAACCAUUCAAUAAUCAUGCUCUUAGACCUAAUCCCACUUUACCACCAUCAAAGAAUUGGUAACUUAAAGCAAAAAAUAAAAUAAAAAAAAUUGGUAACUAAAAUAAUAAUAUAUAAUAAAUUUUAAAAUAAUAGCUACAGGAAUAAAUUUCAAACAUUCAAACACAUACAUAGUAUUACAUACCCAAACGCCAAACCCUUAUUUUUCAUUGUUGAGAUAGCACUUAACACAAGAAAGAUCGUCAACGCUGAGAAAUCAUCUUUUCUUUCUUUCUUUCAUCUUUCCCUCUCUGAAACAGAAGAUUUUUAAAAAAGAAAACGAUGGCGUUUCAUAACAAUCAUUUCAAUCACUUCACCGACCAACAACACCAGCCUCCUCUUCCUCCGCCGCCACAGCAGCAGGAACACCAUUUCCACGAAUCCACACCGCCUAACUGGCUCCUCCGCUCCGACAACAACUUUCUAAACCUCCACACUCCCGCCUCCGCCGCCGCAACAAGCUCCGACUCUCCUUCAUCCGCCGCAGCUAACCAGUGGCUCUCUCGUUCCUCCUCCUUCCUCCAACGCGGCGGCGGCGCCAGCAACAAUAACGCCGGUUCUGGUGACGCCAUGGAAAACAUUACCGGCGGAGAGGAGUCUAUGAUCGGCGAGAAUGCGAGGCACAAGGCGGAGAUACUCUCUCAUCCACUAUACGAGCAGCUGUUGUCGGCACACGUGGCGUGCCUGAGGAUCGCAACGCCGGUGGAUCAGCUUCCGAGGAUCGACGCACAGCUCGCUCAGUCGCAGAACGUCGUGGCUAAGUACUCAACGUUAGACGCUGCUUCUCAAGGACUCAUCUCCGGUGAUGAAAAGGAGCUUGACCACUUCAUGGUAACUUAACUUCUCAUUCCUUCUCACCAAAUCUUAAAUUUUUUAUUUUAUUUCCACUAUUUUAUUACCUGGCUUUUUUUAUCAGACAUGGUUUAUUUUCUUCGGUUUAGGGAAAAUAAAAUCAAUAAUUUCGUUUUGUCUUUUUUAGUUUAUAGUUUUCACGGUUUGCAAAUUUAACUUGACGAUAUGUUGGUGUUUUUAUAUAAAUAAAUUAGAGAAGAAAGGGAAAUUUUCUUUCAUAGAAAGGGAAAUUUUCUUUCAUAGAUUUGUACUUUGCACCGACACACAUACAUAGAUAUUCAGUGACCUGGUUGGAUAUAGUAUUAGUCAGUUUAAGAUUUGGAUUUUAGUUUUGUACAGUUGAAAUUUGACAACUGAUGAUUUUACUUAGAGUUGUAUAUAGUUUGGUUGAACGAUACAUUGGUUGUAGUUAUGGACAUAUUCUUCUGACAUAAACGACAUAGUUUGUCAUUUUCUGUGUGUAUCCCAUGUAUAUAUCUUUAGACUUAUGAUUAUUGUCCUAUUAAACUUGUUUUGAUCUAUUGUCUGAAAGAUACGUAUAUCAUGCUUUUGUGCAGUCGCAUUAUGUACUAUUGCUAUGCUCUUUUAAAGAACAACUGCAACAGCAUGUUCGUGUCCAUGCAAUGGAAGCUGUUAUGGCUUGUUGGGAGAUUGAGCAGUCUCUUCAAAGCUUCACUGGUUAGUUUUUUGAGAAUUCACCUUUUAUUUUUAACGCUAUUACUGUAACUCUUGUGAUGUUAUUAGUCAAAAAAAAAAACUCUUGUGAUGUGUUGCAUUGUAGCAUUGACAAAGAAUAUGUUUUCUAUUUCUUUUAUUUGUUAUUUCAUUUCUGUUAUAUGGUAUAGAUUUCUUAAGGAUUUUCGGUUGUUUGUUGGGUGAGACAGGAGUGUCUCCUGGUGAAGGCACAGGAGCAACAAUGUCCGAAGACGAAGAUGAGCAAGUAGAAAGUGAUGCUCAUUUGUUUGAUGGAAGCUUAGAUGGGUUGGGGUUUGGUCCUCUUGUCCCCACUGAGAGUGAGAGAUCCUUGAUGGAACGAGUUAGACAAGAACUCAAACAUGAACUCAAGCAGGUAACAAAUGAUAUAUAAAUAUUUUCUUCAGUUAGUCUUUAUACACAUUGUCUCAUCUGUUAAGUUACAUUGUCCAUUAUUUGACAAUUACUAUUAUCAUUUGUUUUAUAUAAAGAAAGCUUGUAUAGUGACGUACGUCUAUUAUAUAUAGCUGAUCUAACGAUGUGAAAUCAUGUUUUUGUGAAAAGGGCUACAAGGAGAAAAUUGUAGACAUAAGAGAGGAGAUAUUGAGAAAGAGAAGAGCUGGGAAAUUACCAGGAGACACCACCUCGGUUCUCAAAGCUUGGUGGCAGUCUCAUUCUAAGUGGCCUUACCCUACUGUGAGUCCUUAUCCUACUUCUUCAAUCACUGACAUGGAUACGUCUCAAGGGUUUCUUGUUAUGUUCUAUCCAGCUUGGCUUACAUUCGUGACUUCUUCAUUUGCCUUCUAAUCUCCUAAGUUUUAAAUGAAUGAGAUGACUUUGGCAGGAGGAAGAUAAGGCGAGGUUGGUGCAGGAGACGGGUUUGCAGCUCAAACAGAUAAACAAUUGGUUCAUCAAUCAAAGAAAGAGGAAUUGGCAUAGCAAUCCAUCUUCUUCCACCGCCUCAAAGAACAAACGCAGAAGGUACAAACACACAAUUAAACGAAUAAUGCUAGUGUGACAAAGUGUAUAGCUUUUAAAUUUAUAUGUUAGUGUGAACUUGUUUAGGCAUGGUUAGAUUUAAUUUAGUUACAUUUUCAAGAAAACAUGAAGCAUUGAAUUUCGGAGAUUUGUUUUAUGAAGUAAUGCAGGUGAAAAUAGCGGAAGAGAGCGUUGAAGUCAGUUUGUAGCUGUGCAUGGAACGAUCCAAAAGCUUGAUAGAAGGUUGGAGAUACAAAGAUAAAACUCCUACACAAAACCAGCGUAGAAAGUAUUUUGUGUCUUCAUAUGUUGUAUUAGGGAGCAUACAACCCAAAAGACCAAAAAGUAGAAGCAUGAUUUGUGAUAUGAGGCUAAGAUGGAAUUUGUGAUAGGAUCGUUACUACUAUCCCCAUUAUUAUCAUAUCUUGUGAAUAACAAGGAGUUUCUCUUUUAACAUUUGUGCAAACUGAUUAUUAGACGUACUAUAUAGUAUAUAGUAUACAAUUAGAACUACGCGUCUGUGGUCGGGUGGUCAAGGCGUUCCAUGGAUCUCCAAGGGACCCGAGUUCGAAUCCGCACCACAACAAAUUUCCACGCUCGUGGCCAGAGCUUUCUCAUUCUUUCCGGAGAAUGGUUUACCAUUUUUUUUAGUAUACAAUUAGACAAUUAGUGGAAUCACUUGCUAACCCUAACACAAAAUAUAUAUGAAACGACCAACCUAUUUACGCCUGAUCACAUUCCGGAGCUGCAAAGGUUGCCGGCAAAUGAACAAAAAAUAGACUUUCUCCGCGGUUGACGGUUGUCGAAAUUACUAAAAACUUUUUCCAUUUGGGCCUGACUAUUAUCUUCGGUAUCAUCUCAAGCAUCUUAGGCUUCGUAUCCAUUAUGGGCCGAGUUGUCUCUUGACACAUCCCAUGGGACUCAGUACGCAUGGACCUUACUAUUAUAGUUCAAAUGCGUGAACACGGACGUUUCAUACGUAGUCCCCUACCUCCAGUAAAUUCGAUUAAUAUUUACUAGUGUAAAUUUUAUUUAUUCAGAUCGGUUGCACGUAAAUCAAACUAGUUUAUGAAUUUUUGGAUUUACUUCAAUUCAAUUCGUUCUUUUUUUUCAUGAAGAUUAGCAGACACGGGCUAAUAGUGGCAAUUCAAUAGUAGCAGAAGGGAGUCUCCUUUAACUUUAAGAGACAAAAAGACACAGAGGAAUAAGAUUGCAUGACGUGGUUUUCUGAUUGGUCUUUGUCUUCUACUUAUAUUACAGUAAUCUAAGAAGAGUGUUUCUCGAUAGCUGGGCCAAAAGGCAGCUGUGUGUUAUCUAUUACGUAACAGUGACGAAACAGUCAUUUCUGUUCUCUUUUGUCCUUAUAGAUAAUAAUGUUUUUUCUUUUUCCAAUUUACAGUGCUGAAUAAAUUGAAAGAUUCGCUAUCUGAAAGCGACACGAAAAAAACAAAGUGAUACAGAUAAAAUAAAGUAUUAGUGGGUAACUAGGUGAUAGAGAAUAAAACAGAGACAAGGACGACAAGCAAACUGACAACAUUCUUUCUUGCUCUAUCAUGAGCUUCUAUAUGUCAUGUUAGCCAAUGUACGCGAAAAUUUCUGAUCUGAUAUGAUACAAAAAAAAUAUGAAAGAAUAACAGUUCAUAAAAAUGUUUGAUUCGUCUGGUGUUUCUGUAAAAAACUUUUGAUAUAUGGCGAACUUAUCUUGGUACGGCAACAUUUGUAAAAUUGUAAGUUGAGGUCACGACCUCUUAAAUCAAAUUGAAUAUAAUAAAACUUUUUGACAUAUACGUUCGUUGUUUGGUGUCACGAUGCAGUUUUAUCUUUCUUAUCACAAAACAAGCUGAAAGUUACCGUACAAAUUAGGGCAAAAAAGACUAUACCUAAAUAACGUUACCUUUCGUAACAAGCAACAAGUAACAACUAACAAAUAUCCAGUCUGUAACUCUAAUGUACUAGAUCUUUAAUUAAAAGUGCACCUCAACGUCACAAUUUCCUAUCUCGACUCGGACUGAUAUUUUGCCUUUACCAUUGUUUUACAUCAGAUAUAAGAUUCGAUUCCAAAUAUUAUUCAUAUAUAUGUAUAUAUAAAUGUGAAUACAAAUAUCUAAACUUUGAAAAUUCAACGAGGAUGAUUGACAAUGAAUGCUGUGGCUUUCAUUGGUGAUCAAGUCUAGCUAAAGAAAUAACUUGCAAGGGAAAAUAUAAAAAAAAUUAUCUAUUAAAACAAAAGCCAUGACUUUUUUAUGUAUUUUUUUUAUUUGGACCAUUUUUCAAAAACUGUAUAAAAUUUUAAUAUCUUUCAAUAUCUUUACUUUUUUUAUUUUAAAUGCAGCUGAAUAUUCUUCAAAAAAAACUAAAAAAAUCUUUGAAAAUUUUUUUCAGAAGAUUUUUUUUUUAAAUCCGAAAAUUAACAAUUUAAAUUCUAAUUAUGCUAAAAUAUGAUUAGAUAUUAAAAUUAAUUUAGCAUUGAUGUAAACAAGAAAUAAAAAAUUAUAUAAAAAUUAAUUAUUCAAUGAUAAUAACAAUUUAAACUGAUUAAUUUUUGACAAUAUACAUUUACAAAUAUUUUACAAAAAUUUUGUUAGAAAUGAAUAUUCAUUUAUAUUUCAAACAUAUAAUUAAAUAGUAUUAUUAAAUAAUGAAGAAUGAUAAAUAAAAACCAAAAAAAAUUACCAAAUGACAAAUGAGAUACCGUGCUAAAACUAUAUAUGAUUUAAGUUAUACUACCGAUAUAAGCAAAUAAUACAAUAUAAAAAUUAAAAACGUAGCCAUUCUUAAAUAUAUUUUUUGAACAAAUAGUUAUUCUUAAAUUUAAUCAAUUGAAAAUGAAAAACAAAACCCGCACAAUCUAGUGUGUGAUUAAAAUUUUAAAAGGGUAAUACUAUACAAAUAAGUAAGAUUUGAAGCAUCAAAGAGAAAGAGACACGUCGACUGGUGGCAAGUGAUGUAUCACUAGAUUCACUACAUAACAACCCAAACAUCAAUACAUGUGAAAAAGACGUUUUAGGUACUUUUCCUUUUUUUUUGCAUCCCCACUUCAGUUCAUUUCACACUCUUAUCUUCAGUCUAUCUCCACUCGUUUCUUGCUUUUUUAAAAAAAAACUCAGUUUUAAACGUUAAGGAUAAUAUGAUACGUGGCCUCCACUAUCUUCAACCGGCUUUAGAUGCUUAUGCUCGUACCCACCUUACCAAUAUCUAUAUUGGUCACCACUUCCAAAUAAUAAUUUAUAAUUAAUCGAAACGAGAAGAUUGAUUCUUUCUAAUUAUUAAAUUUAUAUUAUUCUAGUUCGAGUAGCCGAACCAGGUUCUUGUGUCCGAAAAAUUAUAACAAAACUUUUGUGUAUGUUCAUGAGACUAAUACACCGUCUUUGCUCUUGCAUGCUGCGACAGUCUCACUGAUCAAAACAUGUAAAUUUCUUUUCUUCUUAUGCCGACACAACAAUAACCUCUUUUGUGGUUCUGUUAUAUUCUUUAAUGUUUUAAACCUCCCACUCAUAGUUUUGGUUGAAUAUAGCUUUUGCUACUUUGAUACUUGACUUCUCAAUCGCAUAUCGUUUAAUUUUUUUUUUUUUUUUUUGAUAACCGAGUGUCCAGACUCCACCGUGGUGGUCCAGGCUAGAGACCAAACCCGAUGGUGGGUCAUGGCCAGGCAACGGUCUUCGGUCUCGGACACCAGAGCAAGUCCGCAUGUAAAUUUCCUGGUGGCCAGUGCGAAUCGAACCCGGAGACCGUACUUGCAGCCGCAAAUCGUUUAGGUUUCAACAAUGUUGAUUAAUUAAUCCUCAGCUCAAGAAUUUGCUCAUUCAUCAUUUUACAGCUCUCCAGUUUUUGAUCUGAACAUCUUUAAUUUAGUACCAGCUACAAAAUAGUGUGGUAAAUGGUAAUUAGUGACCGGCUAAUAUCAACUCCAGUUAUGCAUGGUUUGAUCAUGCAUUCCAGAUUAUUUUUUACAAAUACUAAAUAAAAUAAAGGAAGAAAUCGUUUUCUUUUCAAGAACAAUCUACAAAUCAUAAGUGAAAUCGAAUUAGAUUUGUAUAUUGUAAUAGUAAAUGCUUAUUUACAAUUUUUUUACCAAAAAAAUGCUCAUUUACAAAGAAAGAUGAGAGAGUUAUAUAUAUAGAAAAUGUUUUUUUUUCACACAUGAUCAAUAGAGAAAUUAUAUACCUGAAAAAAGUUUUUGUCACAAAUAUAAACCUUAAAAAUAAAAAUGACCAAAAUAGACUUAAAUAUUUUAUCAAAAGAAGUAAAUAUACACUUAUACUCCUACGGUUAAUUAAUGUAAACAUUAGGAUUUAGAGUUAAGGGGUGGGGUUUAGGGUUUAGGAUUUAGAGUUUAAGGUUGAAGAUUGAAGUUUUGGGAUAGGAUUUCAAAUUUUUAAAAAUAAAAUAAAAAUUCAAAAAAAAUCAAAAUAAAAAAUGCGUCAAUUUUUGUGACAAAAAUGCGUCUAUCCGAGAGAAUUGCUCAAAUCAAUAUGAGAAUGAGCGUUUAUAUAGACAAUAAUGACGUCAUACUCGUACGUUAUUUCUCAAAUAAGCACAACGGAGAAAAAUUCACAUUCCGCCGUCACACGAACAAAGGGGACUACUUAACGGUCAGAACGAAAUAAGAUCAACCCUCGCCGAUCUAGGCUUCGUCACCGGAGACUGAGGCAACCUCGCCGUGAAAUUAGGGAAAAGAACCGUCCUCGUCCGCCCUCACAUCGUCCUCGAAAUUGAGCGCGUAGCUCAACGCAUCGUAGCUGAAAUCUCCAGGAUAGCUCUGGUGUCUCUGCUGGUGGUGGUGGUGGUGAGCGCAAUUAUAAGCACAGUUAUUGUUGCGGCACGUAACCUUGACGCGUGUCUUGACCCGGCGACAACGUUCUCUGAGCUCGAGCUCCUGCCCCGUGGAUUUGAGCCACUCAUAAGGAGAUCGAGGUGUUCUCGGUCCGAUCAUCGCUUCAGGUUCAACCACCGCGUUGGCUCCUAGGCAGCAGAUCGGAGAUCUCAUUCUGUGGGUAGUACUUCUCGUUGAUCUAGCGGAAGAAGGAGAACUGCAUUCAUUGUACAUCUCGAAAAAACUGAAACUGUAAGGAAAAGAGAAAAUGUUCUGUUAUAAAAACCAGAAAAGAAGGAAUGUGAGAGAAUAUAUAGGAGAAAAAUAGGGAAGAAAAUAAAAAAGACGUGGGUGGACAAGUAGGCUUGGGCUUGGGCCUGUAGUUCGCGUUUUCAAAGUGUUUGUUUUGGUAAAGUAUUUUCCGCUGAUUUUGGUGAUGAUCAUAGUAGAAAAAUGCUACAUGGUAUCUUAUACAAUAAAGUAGAGCCUAGUCUCUCCUCCUUGCGCCAAGUCACCAUGGAGAUAGGGGUUUUUGCUGACACGUGUCAGCACCUGGUCGUUCUGCGUUUUUUUUUUUUUUGGUUUUGUUAUUUGCGCUGUUUAAAACGGGGAUUGAACUGGGCUUUGGCGCAUGAAACCCAAUGUGGAGCCCAGUCUUUUUCACGUCUCGACCCACAAGCGCAUUAGGGUUUACCCCAUUUUCUUCUCGCGGCGCGAACUCACCAACGAAACCACUGUUCUGAUAACUUCAUCGUCAAAAGAUAUCAUCAUUUUGAUCUCAAUGAUUCCAUUAGAACUUCAUAUCGUCUCAUCGGAGGAUUAUUCAAAUCCAAAAGAUUUCAUUUUUCUCAUUUUGGUAUAUGAUUUUUAUAAAGCAAAUAAAAGAAAGAAAAAUUAGGUUUUAAUAUAUUUUUAUAACUUUUCUAUGUUCAUUCAGAUUCCAGAAUGUGAAGAUGACGACUUCCACGAAGAAAGACAGCAAAACAGAGCAACACCAAGCAGCGACGGCGGCUCUUCCGCUACUCCAAGUCGCCGCCACAACCGCCGCAGUAACGAGAACUACCAACACACUCUAACGCCUCUCCACCACAACGGAAAUAGAAAACGACAUGACUCCAACGACGAAUACGGAGGAGCAGUCUCCUGCAACAAGUGUCUUCCUCACCACUCUCACCGCGACAAUUCUCCGUCGUGCCUCUAGAAAGCCACAACAACAACAACCCUUCCUUCAUCUCAAGCCCCAACCUCAUAAUCAAAUCCACCUUCCAAUCGGAGAAGCCCCAAACCCUCUUCCGCCGCGGUCUUCCUCCUCCUCCGCCUCCGUCGCAGACGCUUCCAGAGAAGAACUGAUCCAAGCCACGAAGAAGAAAGAAGACGCCGUCACGGAAGCUUCUCGGUUGAAAACGUCCAUGACGGAGCUAGAGAAGAAGCUCAACAAGCUCGAGAUCUACUGCCACGACCUCAAAUCGGGCCUCGACGAGUGCAGCAGCAACAACAAGAAACAGAGCGUCCCUGUUCGGUUCAACGAUGGGAUCAUCCGUCGCAGACGCUUCCAGAGAAGAGCAAUGGCGGUUAGCCGUGGCGGAGCUUUCUCAUAAACUGAUCCAAGCCACGAAGAAGAAAGAAGACGCCGUCACGGAAGCUUCUUGGUUGAAAACGUCCAUGACGGAGCUAGUGAAGAAGCUCAACAAGCUCGAGAUCUACUGCCACAACCUCAAAUCGGGCCUCGACGAGUGCAGCAGCAACAACAAGAAACAGAGCGUCCCUGUUCGGUUCAACGAUGGGAUCAUCCAGCAGUUCCUCGUCUCGGUGUCGGAAUCUCGCUCUUCGAUCAGAGCCCUGAGCAGAGCUCUCGCGUCGUAGACUCGCAGCUGCGUACCGUCGGUGGGAAAGUCUACGAGCGGCUCUCUCUCCUCCUCCAGUCUUUCGAUGUCAAGAUCAACUCUUUCGCGAAGAACCCGAAAAGCCUGAUCUUUUACCUCGAAGCGAUCCUGAGCAGAGCCUUCUUCGAGAACUUCGAACUUCGAAGCUUCCGGGUUUUCAGAAAAUGGGUCGACCCGGAUUUUGAACCCGAGUGAUCGUUGCGAGUCCAAUUACGCUUCGUUUAACGUCUUGAUGGAGCUCACGUGGGACGGAGGUGUUGAGCAGAGGAACAAAGCAUUUCUCUGAGCAGUUUAGCCGGUUCUGUGACCGGAAAAAUGAGUGUCACGUCGCUUCCAUGCUUUGCUGGAACCGAGCGUGGCCUGAACCACUUUUACAGGUAAAGUAGUAAACCGAACAGUUUAUUGGAUUAUGAUUUGGUUUAUUGGAAACCAAUUAAACUGUUCUUCUUUUUCUUUUGUAGGCUUUCUUUGGUGCGUCGAAGAGUGUUUGGUUGGUUCAUCUCUUGGCUAAUUCGCUGAACCCGGGUUUGCAGAUUUUUCGUGUGGAGAGAGAUGAUCGGUUUGAUCCGGUUUACAAGGAGGAAACUGGUGGGGACAGGUAUAAGAGUGUGGUUCGAGCUAUGGUUCAACCUGGGUUUUAUGUGUAUGGCAGUGUAGUUAAGUGCAAGGUGGUUUGCAAGCAUUGCGGCAGCGACUAGGAAGAGACGAUAAGCAUUUUUAGCCCAUUAGGAGUCUAAUUUACGUUGAUUAAGGAAUUAUAAAAUUGGUGAGUUUUGAUUUGUUUUGUUUUUGCAACUUGUACUUAAAAAAAAUGGAAUGAUCUUUGCAAGUAAAUAUUUUAAAACUGGCUCUUUUAAAAAAUAACGUUUUUGUUGGUUUUUUUUCAAACUGAUUUAAUAAAAAGUCUAUUGGUGUUUUGUUUGAUUUUCUUUUUUCUUUGGCAAGUUACUUCUGCUCUUUCACAUGCUGGUUUGGAGCCCUCGAAUCUGGUAUUGAUGUCCCCAAAAGAAACAAAUGGACAGGUUAGACAAGUUAUGAUCUUUAUGUAUAGCCAAUCUUUAAGUUUAGAUUUAAAGUAAUCUACUCCGAUAUGAAAGGUGACUGGUGAUUUGAUUUAGGGGUGAGAUUAUUUGGUAGGAAUAGCCUGCAUUACAUUGGAACAACUCCAAACCCUUAUCAACAAGUUAUUUUCAUCAUUGGAAAUACUUUAUUUGUUUUCGUUGAAUAUAACUUGAUCCCAUGUUAUUGAUUCGGUUCGGAGUUCGUAAUAACCUCAAAGAUCUGGUGUUUUAUCAUUUAACUGCCAAGUUUUUAUUUGGUCUGUGGUUACAGAAAGAUUAGUUUCUUUGGUUUUGACUUUCCAGCUACAACACAUGAUCAAGCUGUCUUUAGUUUCAAUUCCAAUAAUACAUAUUUUGUUACGGGUUUGAAGAAGUUCUCAUGUGUUACAGCGAUAUUGUUCCCCAACUGCGCCUUGCAGUUUGACAACUGUCUGUGUUCUUACAUAUUCUCUACUUUUUUUUUCUUGAUUUUUUCUGGUUUUGUAACAGGUCUGACAUCUUUCACUUAACUCUGCUGUCUUUAGGCAUUUGCUAGGUGAGCCGGUAUGGGAGUGGAUGAGCUUGAGCAUCUAGAAAUUCAAGUAGAUACAUCAAUAAGGCAAAUAAGAUCCACAAAAGGUAUACACAAUUUCAAGAAAUUACAAGCUUAUAUCUGAUUUGGUCCAAAGAGAAUUUAGAACAAUACCAAAUCUUGGAUUUGUUUUCUCAUUGCCAGGCCCGAUCAAUGUUUGAUCAACUGUUUGACCUCAAAACAAAGGUACAUAAAAAUCCUCACAAAGUUCAAUAAUCUCAAUACAACCCUCAUUGGAAACAACAUAGAUUUUAAGAGAAAGUUAGUGCCAUCAAAAUCUUAUAGCCCAAGAAAUUGAAUCAUUUGAGAUCUUUUACAACAUUGAUGCCUUUCUCUCUCUCUCUCUAUCUCAGUUGGGGGAAAGUGAUGCAGCCCUUAAUCGAUCACUAUGGGGUGAUUAUUUUUCCGCAGAACAUCAUCAACGACAACAAUAAGGCAUGAGCCCUUAUCAAGCAAACGUUCUGAGUAAGAUGUGGGUUUCUUCAGACCUUUACUGGGCAAUGUAACAUUGCAAAUGAGGUAUUCAUCACAGAGAAACAGUAAAGACCCAAUGAAUUGACUUUUUUUAUGGUCAGCUAGACUUAUAAUUGAUUUUUAUGGAACGAUCAUUACAGUCACUGGUGUGACUAAUGCAAGCCACUCUGCAACAUCACAUAAUGUUAUUAACAGGUUCUUCCCUGGAUGGAUGGUCUAAAAAAUACAUAGCAAUCUAUACGUAUCUGUGUUCUAUAGAUAACAUAUCAUAGUUGAGCCAUUUGGUUUUUCCAAGAGAACAAUAGUUCAUGAUUACAAAACACUGAUAUAGUGAUAUCUAAUUAAGGCUGUAAACACUUCGUUCUUUCUUUUUGCUCCUAAAAUAUAUAAAUACUAGGAUAAGACCUGUGCCUUGCGCAGGGUGAGUUUAUUUAUAUAUAUUAUCGAUAGUUUCUUUUAUAUAUUUGAUCAUUUUAUUUAUAUAUAUAUAAUAUUUUUUGUUGUUAUUAUAUAAUUUCUUUCCGAUGGAUCGGAUCAAUUUUUAUUAAAAAUAAUGGAACAAAACUAUAAUUAAUACAUCAUAGGUUGAUCGGAUUGGACAUUAAACAAAUUAUGACAUAAAACCUUAUUUUUUCAAUCAAACACAUUCUUGAAACAAGUGAACAUUAUUGUUUUCACCGUUGAAUUAUUUUGACUUUUAUCUUCCAUAUGGUUUUGAAAGCUUUCAAAUCAACCAUCUACACUUCUUAUAUUUUAGGUUAAUAUAAUGUUCUCUAGUUAUAUAUAAAGUUUUCAUCGCAAGAAAAAGUUAUCUUCCACUAGGACUCACUAGAGUUUGUUGCUUUUUGACUUAUAAACAAUAAGAGGUUGAAGCGAAUGAAAGUUCACGAGUUCGCCCUAGUUUUAAAACGCUCUCUGAAACGAAACCCGAGGCGCCGCUUGUGAUUCUUCUUCCCGACGCCGGUGGCGGCCUAGCUAGCCGGCGUCGCUAUUGUUACUCCUCGUUCCUCGCCACCUGCUACUCCUCGUCUUUUGUUUGCCGCUUCUCGUCAUCCGUCAUCGUCAUCUCGGAGAAGUCAGACUUCUCCUCCUUUGUUUCAGUUUGUUCUUCUUCCCCGAUGGUUUCAGGCAGUGCUGACCUUCGUGUGACUUCAAACUUUGGUUCGAAGCUCAUUUGGUUUGUUGCUCGCGGUCAGACUGGGUCAUCCUCUCCGAGUUCUAGAUUUAUAUUGCUCACCAGAAGAGUCGCUUACUCUGCCGUCGCUUCCAUCAACGCUCCUCUCGUCGUCACCGCCAACUCUACGACCACUUUCCUCGCCACCGUUCUUCUCAGUGUGAGCUCCAGAUCUACUAAGCCGGAGGAUGAGUUCACCAGUUAUGUCCCCUCCGUUGUCUUAGAUGCAACCCCACCGCACCACAACACUUCAGACUACCGCAACCAUGGGCAGAGCCAGCUUUGCUCUCUUAAAUCGUUUGUUUUGCUCCGCCUUUUCCCCAUUUUCCCCACCUUCACUUCGUCACGUCCUCUCACGCCACUUCUCCUAGUGACCGCCUGAUUCUCCUGUGCAAGAAUGUGGUUUCGCCAGAUUAUCUCGUUACUAUGUCACCGUUGCGUCUCCAUCACACUAUGCCGUCUCAAGCAUCGACGGUUCUUCGCAGAGUGAACUCGCCAAGUCUACUAGCUACUCUAUCACUUAUGCGUCUUCAUCACAUUAUGCCAUCUCAAACAUCGAUGGUUCUUCACAAUGUCAACUACACGACUUUCAAACCGGAGCUGCUAUCAUUAACGGAGGCUCUCGGAUGUCUUGCUCAAGCCGUACCCUUACUCAUCGAGUCUUCACUGGCGUGUUGAGACCUUUGUUCUUCAGAUCCAGGAUCUCACCGCCUGCAGAAGGGUUAACGACGAGUUGUCGGCUACUACACAUGACUCCGUUGCCACCCCUAUCUCUAGUCAGACUCGUGUCUCCGUCGUCUCCUAUCUACACGGCCCGAUCUCCGUCAGUGCAAGCCACCACCAUCGACCCUCAAGCUGUCGUGACGACCUUCAUUUUCCGACUGGAGAGGCUUUCCACCUUCUCCGGCGAACUAUUAGAGUCCAGUCCGCGACUGCCCCAGGUCCAUGUUCCUUAUUAUGCAUCAUCCAAGUGGACCGCUUCCUUUUGGGUAUGUUCCCCGACUCCGAUGGCCUUCGACUCACCUAGUCUCUUACCAGGAGUGUCCAUGGAAGGUCAAACAACACCUCUUCCUCCAACGAUCCAAGCAUCUUCAGAGACAUGGUUCAAGUGUUCUCAAAACCCAUUGAUUGGGUUCUUCAAAGUCGAUUUCGACGUAUGCGCGUUCCUUCGAAUGCAGGCUCUAGGAUUACAAGUGAAGUUUCUCUUUGGGUCUCUUCUCUCCUUAGCCACAUCUAUCUUUCAUCUUGUUUUAGUUAUUUUCGUCUAUCGGCUUAUCGUCGAGGAUCUCUCCGGUUGUAACCGACUUAGUCCAUUGGGCCUUUAAUUUAAUAUAAUCAUUUGUUGUCCAAAAAAAAAAACAAUAAGAAGUUGAUACUAUAUAAUGAACAGAAGAACACACACUGACACACAACUUUUUUAUUACUACUUAUGUCAUAGGAUCAGUAGACGCCGGGCAAAAAUGGAAACAAGCUUUUUAUCCAGCUAGAGAAAUAGUAUUUCACAAGCAUACAUACACGAAUAUUAAAAUUAUUCAACAAAGGUAAAAUUUAUGGACUUUUUGAAAAGCAUGUACACCUGUAUUGCUACUUGCACUUUGUGAUAACCUUUGGAAUUGGUGGUCUGACAAGUGACAACCAAAUGCAGAGUGUGGCCUCCUUCAAAGUUCAGACCAAAGGUUCAUGCAUUGUUAUAGUGUUUGGCAAAAUAACAAAUAUAACCCCUGAGUUGCUUAGACUUUACGUUUUAAACCCUGAGGUCUACUUUCUUUUAUUAAAAUUCUCAAAUAAACCACUCCAUUGCUGUCUCUAUUUUUUUUCUCCCCGAAGAAUUUCGGCUGAGACUAUAUCGGACCCUAAACCUCUCUAGCGAUCCAGUUUCAGUUAAGUGCACAUCUUCAAAAUCAAAACUUCGCGCCGUUUCAAGAGUGGAAUAACCAACUUCGUGUCGUUUUUAGUGUAGACUCAGACCUGGUUCUGUGCCUUGGCCCUUGCCUGCUUCUUCCACCGAGAUUCGCUACUCGAGAAAUGAGAUGGCUGAGGUAUCUAAACCAAUGGCGUGGAACAGCGAAAGAAGCAUUCGAUCAAGUUUCAAUCGUAGCCAAGUUCCUCUGUUUGCUUCACGUCACCGAUCGUUAUAUAAUCUCCUCCACUCACGUCUGUAAAUCAUUGCAAGUUAAAUCUCUUUUGUUCCCUUUCUCACAAAAUCUCCAAUUUCGUUGGCUUGGGUUUCAGGUUCAAGGUCCUAGCAUGCUUCCGACGCUUAAUCUCACCGGCGAUGUCAUUUUGGCGGAACAUGUGUCGCACCGGUUCGGUAAAAUUGGUCUUGGUGACGUUGCAUUGGUUCGGUCUCCGACAGAUCCAAUGAAGAUGGUGACAAAGCGUGUCUUGGGUUUAGAAGGGCAUAGACUCUCUUUCUAUGCUGACCCAUUGGUCGGUGAUGACUCAGUCAACGUUGUGGUAGCAAUCUCUACAUUCANNNNNNNNNNNNNNNNNNNNNNNNNNNNNNNNNNNNNNNNNNNNNNNNNNNNNNNNNNNNNNNNNNNNNNNNNNNNNNNNNNNNNNNNNNNNNNNNNNNNUUUUUUUAUCAAUUUAUUGAGUAAAACUUCAUAUUACUCCCUAAAUAGGUGGAAUAACCAUUGUAGAAUCGCCAUUUUCUUGAAAAUUGGAGACAAAAACGGCUCCAAACCUCUGUAAACAUCAUCAUAUGUUAGUGAAUGACGCAACUAUGCAUUAAAACAAUAUUGUCAAAUUUUUUGAAAUUUUCUCGAAAUCUAUGUGUUAACCCAUACGAAAAUAUUGAGUUUUUGGUAAAUGCUUUAUAUACUGAAACCUAUAAUCUUUAACGUUAUUUUAAAAUUUGUAACCACAUUCUAAAUUUGUAUAAAUGUUAUUUAACUCUCUUUCAUGGUACACGGAAAUCUUUCUAAUUUUUUAUCAAUUAAUUUUGUAAAACUUCAUGUAAUCCCUAAAUUAGUGGACUAACCAUUAUAAAAUCGUUAUUUUCUAGAGAAACAUAGACAACAAAGGUUCUAAGCCUCUUUGACCAUCAUCAUAUGUUAGUUUAGGAUGCAACUAUGCAUUAAAACAAUAUUGUUAUAUUUUCGAAUUUUUUCAAAAUCUAUGUAUAAACCCAUACGAAAUAUUGAGUUUUACGUUAAACACUCUAUAUACCGAAGCCUAAACUUUUAUUGUUGUUUUAAAAUUUCUAACCAAAUUAUACAUUUGUAUUAAAGUAUAUAUGUUAUAAUCUCUUUCAUGAUAUAUGAAAAUCGUUAUAAUUUUUUUUAUCAACUUAUUGAGUAAAACUUCAUAAUACUCUCUAAAUUGGUGGAAUAACCACCAUAGAAUCGCUAUUUUCUUGAAAAACGGAGACAACAACGGCUCCAAACCUCUUUAAACAUCAUCAUAUGUUAGUGAAAGAUGCAACUAUGCAUUAAAAAAUAUUUCAAAUUUUUUGAAUUUUUUUCAAAAUCUAUGUGUUAACCCCUACUAAAAUAUUGAGAUUUUGGUAAAUGCUUUAUAUACUGAAGCCUAUAAUCUUUAGCGUUAUUUUAAAAUUUGUAACCACAUUCUAAAUUUCUAUCAAUGUUAUUUAAACUCUCUUUCAUGGUACAUGAGCAUCUUUCUAAUUUUCUAUCAAUUUUUUUUUUGUCACAAACUGAUUAUAUUAAAAUUUAAAAGCCCUACGACUUAGACGAACUACAAUUGGAACAGUGUUCAACGACGAGAAGAUAACAACUGGAGGUAUACUCGACAGUGUGACUAAUAACAAAUGUUGAACAAUAACACAAAGGAUAGAUAUGUUACAAAGGGAGACUUGCUCAAAGUAAAGAAACCUCUGAAAAGACUUCACUUGUACCCUUGAAACAAUGCUCACAGCAGCGAGCAAGAAAUAGUCGGAAUCGACGUUGAAGAUCGUUAUUUUCUAUCAAUUAAUUUUGUAAAACUUCAUGUAAUCCCAAAAUUAGUAGACUAACCAUUAUAAAAUCGUUUAUUUCUAGAGAAACAUAGUCAACAAAGGUUCCAAGCCUCUUUGACCAUCUUCAUAUGUUAGUUUAGGAUGCAAAUAUGCAUUAAAACAAUAUUGUUAUAUUUUUGAAUUUUUUCAAAAUCUAUGUAUAUACCCAUACGAAAUAUUGAGUUUUACGUUAAACGUUCUAUAUACUGAAGCCUAAACUUUUUAGUGUUGUUUUAAAAUUUCUAACCACAUUAUACAUUUGUAUUAAUGUAUGUUAAAUACUCUUUCAUGGUAUAUGAGAAUCAUUAUAAUUUUUAUCAAUUUAUUGAGUAAAACUUCAUAAUACUCCAUAAAUAGGUGGAAUAACCACUGUAGAAUCACCAUUUUCUUGAAAAACAAAGACAACAAAAGCUCCAAACCUCUUUAAACAUCAUCAUAUAUUAGUGAAUGAUGCAAUUAUGCAUUAAAAAAAUAUUGUCAAUUUUUUUGAAAUUUUCUCAAAAUCUAUGUGUUAACCCCCUACGAAAAUAUUGAGUUUUUAGUAAAUGGUUUAUAUACUGAAACCUAUAAUCUUUAGCGUUAUUUUAAAAUUUGUAACCACAUUCUAAGUUUGUAUAAAUGUUAUUUAACUCUCUUUCAUGGUACAUGGGCAUCUUUCUAAUUUUAUACCAAUUAAUUUUGUAAAACUCAUGUAAUCUCUCAAUUAGUGGACUAACCAUUAUAAAAUCGUUAUUUUCUUGAGAAACAUAGACAGCAAAGGUUCCAAGCCUCUUUGAUCAUCAUCAUAUGUUAGUUUAAGAUGCAAAUAUGCAUUAAAACAAUAUUGUUAUAUUUUCGAAUUUUUUCAAAAUCUAUGUAUAAACCCAUACGAAAUAUUGAGUUUUACGUUAAACACUCUAUAUACUGAAGCCUAAACUUUUAGUGUUGUUUUAAAAUUUCUAACCAAAUUAUACAUUUGUAUUAAAGUAUAUAUGUUAUUAUCUCUUUCAUGAUAUAUGAAAAUCGUUAUAAUAUUUUUUUCAAUUUAUUGAGUAAAACUUUAUAAUACUCUCUAAAUAGGUGGAAUAACCACCGUAGAAUCGCAAUUUUCUUGAAAAAUGGAGACAACAAAGGCUCCAAACCUCUUUAAACAUCAUCAUAUGUUAGUGAAAGAUGAAACUAUGCAUUAAAAAAUAUUUCAAAUAUUUUGAAUUUUUUUUCAAAAUCUAUGUGUUAACCCCUACGAAAAUAUUGAGUUUUUGGUAAAUGCUUUAUAUACUGAAGCCUAUAAUCUUUAGCGUUAUUUUAAAAUUUGUAACCACAUUCUAUAUUUGUAUCAAUGUUAUUUAAACUCUCUUUCAUGGUACAUGGACAUCUUUCUAAUUUUCUAUCAAUUAAUUUUGUAAAACUUCAUGUAAUCCCUAAAUUAGUGGACUAACCAUUAUAAAAUCGUUAUUUUCUAGAGAAACAUAGUCAACAAAUGUUUCAAACCUCUUUGACCAUCAUCAUAUGUUAGUUUAGGUUGCAAAUAUGCAUUAAAACAAUAUUGUUAUAUUUUUGAAUUUUUUCAAAAUCUAUGUAUAUACCCAUACAAAAUAUUGAGUUUUACGUUAAACGCUCUAUAUACUGAAGCCUAAACUUUUUACUGUUGUUUUAAAAUUUCUAACCACAUUAUAUAUUUGUAUUAAUGUAUGUUAAACACUCUUCUUUCAUGGUAUAUGAGAAUCAUUAUAAUUUUUUUAUCAAUUUAUUGAGUUAAACUUCAUAAUACUCCAUAAAUAGGUGGAAUAACCACUGUAGAAUCGUCAUUUUCUUGAAAAACAGAGACAACAAAGGCUCCAAACCUCCUUAAACAUCAUAAUAUGUUAGUGAAGGAUGCAACUAUGCAUUAAUUUCAAAAGUUUUGAAUUUUUUUCAAAAUCUAUGUGUUAUAACCCCUACGAAAAUAUUGAGUUUUUGGUAAAUGCUUUAUAUACUGAAGCCUAUAAUCUUUAGCGUUAUUUUAAAAUUUUUAACCACAUUCUAAAUUUGUAUCAAUGUUAUUUAAACUCUCUUUCAUGGNNNNNNNNNNNNNNNNNNNNNNNNNNNNNNNNNNNNNNNNNNNNNNNNNNNNNNNNNNNNNNNNNNNNNNNNNNNNNNNNNNNNNNNNNNNNNNNNNNNNNNNNNNNNNNNNNNNNNNNNNNNNNNNNNNNNNNNNNNNNNNNNNNNNNNNNNNNNNNNNNNNNNNNNNNNNNNNNNNNNNNNNNNNNNNNNNNNNNNNNNNNNNNNNNNNNNNNNNNNNNNNNNNNNNNNNNNNNNNNNNNNNNNNNNNNNNNNNNNNNNNNNNNNNNNNNNNNNNNNNNNNNNNNNNNNNNNNNNNNNNNNNNNNNNNNNNNNNNNNNNNNNNNNNNNNNNNNNNNNNNNNNNNNNNNNNNNNNNNNNNNNNNNNNNNNNNNNNNNNNNNNNNNNNNNNNNNNNNNNNNNNNNNNNNNNNNNNNNNNNNNNNNNNNNNNNNNNNNNNNNNNNNNNNNNNNNNNNNNNNNNNNNNNNNNNNNNNNNNNNNNNNNNNNNNNNNNNNNNNNNNNNNNNNNNNNNNNNNNNNNNNNNNNNNNNNNNNNNNNNNNNNNNNNNNNNNNNNNNNNNNNNNNNNNNNNNNNNNNNNNNNNNNNNNNNNNNNNNNNNNNNNNNNNNNNNNNNNNNNNNNNNNNNNNNNNNNNNNNNNNNNNNNNNNNNNNNNNNNNNNNNNNNNNNNNNNNNNNNNNNNNNNNNNNNNNNNNNNNNNNNNNNNNNNNNNNNNNNNNNNNNNNNNNNNNNNNNNNNNNNNNNNNNNNNNNNNNNNNNNNNNNNNNNNNNNNNNNNNNNNNNNNNNNNNNNNNNNNNNNNNNNNNNNNNNNNNNNNNNNNNNNNNNNNNNNNNNNNNNNNNNNNNNNNNNNNNNNNNNNNNNNNNNNNNNNNNNNNNNNNNNNNNNNNNNNNNNNNNNNNNNNNNNNNNNNNNNNNNNNNNNNNNNNNNNNNNNNNNNNNNNNNNNNNNNNNNNNNNNNNNNNNNNNNNNNNNNNNNNNNNNNNNNNNNNNNNNNNNNNNNNNNNNNNNNNNNNNNNNNNNNNNNNNNNNNNNNNNNNNNNNNNNNNNNNNNNNNNNNNNNNNNNNNNNNNNNNNNNNNNNNNNNNNNNNNNNNNNNNNNNNNNNNNNNNNNNNNNNNNNNNNNNNNNNNNNNNNNNNNNNNNNNNNNNNNNNNNNNNAUCUGUAUGAUUUUAUAUCAAUUAAUUUUGUAAAACUUCAUGUAAUCCCUAAAUUAGUGGACUAACCAUUAUAAAAUCGUUAUUUUCUAGAGAAACAUAGUCAACAAAGGUUCCAAGCCUCUUUGACCAUCAUCAUAUGUUAGUUUAGGAUGCAAAUAUGCAUUAAAACAAUAUUGUUAUAUUUUUGAAUUUUUUCAAAAUCUAUGUAUAUACCCAUACGAAAUAUUGAGUUUUACGUUUAACGAUCUAUAUACUGAAGCCUAAACUUUUUAUUUUUGUUUUAAAAUUUUUAACCACAUUAUACAUUUGUAUUAAUGUAUGCUAAACUCUCUUUCAUGUUAUAUGGGAAUCUUUAUAAUUUGUUUAUCAAUUUAUUGAGUAAAACUUCAUAAUACUCCAUAAAUAGGUGGAAUAAACACUGUGAAUCGCCAUUUUCUUGAAAAAAGGAGACAACAACGGCUCCAAACCUCUUUAAACAUCAUCAUAUGUUAGUGAAGGAUGCAACUACGCAUUAAAACAAUAUUUUCAAAUUUUUCGAAAUUUUUUCAAAAUCUAUGUGUUAACUAACCCCUACGAAAAUAUUGAGUUUUUGAUAAAUGCUUUAUAUACUGAAGCCUAAAUUCUUUAGCAUUAUUUUAAAAUUUGUAAACAUAUUAUAAAUUUGUAUCAAUGUUAUUUAACUCUCUUUCAUGGUACAUGAGCAUCUUUCUAAUUUUAUAUCAACUAAUUUUGUAAAACUUCAUGUAAUCCAUAAAUUAGUGGUCUAACCAUUAUAAAAUCGUUAUUUUCUAGAGAAACAUAGACAACAAAGGUUCCAAGCCUCUUUGACCAUCAUCAUAUGUUAGUUUAGGAUGCAACUAUGCGUUAAAACAAUAUUGUUAUAUUUUUGAAUAUUUUUUAAAAUCUAUGUAUAAACCCAUACGAAAUAUUGAGUUUUAGGUUAAACACUCUAUAUACAGAAGCCUAAACUUUUAGUGUUGGUUUAAAAUUUCUAACCACAUUAUAAAUUUGUAUUAAUGUAUGUUAAACUCUAUUUCAUAGUAUAUGGAAAUCGUUAUAAUUUUUUUAUCAAUUUAUUGAGUAAAACUUCAUAAUACUCUCUAAAUAGGUGGAAUAAACACUGUAAAAUCACUAUUAUCUUGAAAAACGGAGACAAAAACGGCUCCAAACCUCUUUAAACAUCAUCAUAUGAUAGUGAAGGAUGCAACUAUGGAUUAAAAAAAUAUUUCAAAUUUUUUAAAAUUUUCUCAAAAUCUAUGUGUUAACCCUUACGAAAAUAUUGAGUUUUUGGUAAAUGCUUUAUAUACUGAACCUAUAAUCUUUAGCGUUAUUUUAAAAUUUGUAACCACAUUCUAAAUUUGUAUCAAUGCUAUUUAAACUCUCUUUCAUGGUACAUGAGCAUGUUAAUAAUUUUAUAUCAAUUAAUUUUGUAAAACUUUAUGUAAUCCUUAAAUUAGUGGACUAACCAUUAUAAAAUCGUUAUUUUCUAGAGAAACAUAGUCAACAAGGGUUCCAAGCCUCUUUGACCAUCAUCAUAUGUUAGUUUAGGAUGCAAAUAUGCAUUAAAACAAUAUUGUUAUAUUUUUGAAUUUUUUCAAAAUCUAUGUAUAUACCCAUACGAAAUAUUGAGUUUUACGUUAAACGCUCCAUAUACUGAAUCCUAAACUUUUUAGUGUUGUUUAAAAUUUCUAACCACAUUAUACAUUUGUAUUAAUGUAUGUUAAACUCUCUUUCAUGGUAUAUGGGAAACAUAAAUUGAUAAAACUUCAUAAUAUUCCAUAAAUAGAUGGAAUAACCACUGUAGAAUCGUCAUUUUCUUGAAAAACGGAGACAACAACGGCUCCAAACCUCUUUAAACAUCAUCAUAUGUUAGCGAAGGAUGAAACUAUGCAUUAAAACAAUAUUGUCAAAUUUUUUGAUAUUUUCUCAGAAUCUAUGUGUUAACCCCUACGAAAAUAUUGAGUUUUAGGUAAAAGCUUUAUAUAAUGAAGCCUAUAAUCUUUAGCGUUAUUUUAAAAUUUGUAACCACAUUCUAAAUUUAUAUCAAUGUUAUUUAACUCUCUUUCAUGGUACAUGGGCAUAUUUCUAAUUUUAUAUCAAUUAAUUUUGUAAAACUUCAUGUAAUCCCUAAAUUACUGGAGUAACCAUUAUAAAAUCGUUAUUUUCUUGAGAAACAUAGACAACAAAGGUUCCAAGCCUCUUUAACCAUCAUCAUAUGUUAGUUCAGGAUGCAAAUAUGUAUUAAAAGAAUAUUUUUAUAUUUUUGAUUUUUUUCAAAAUCUAUGUAUAUACCCAUAUGAAAUAUUGAGUUUUACGUUUAACGUUCUAUAUACUGAAGCCUAAACUUUUUAGUGUUGUUUUAAAAUUUCUAAGAUGGAUAAUGGAUUAGGGUGGGCGGCUGGGAAGAUAAACGAUAUGGAGCGGUCGCAAACGCAUGAAAACGCGGAAGGGAAUGCGGAGAAAUGGGUGAGAGAUGUGAAGAUUCCGGUUUCGGUUGGUAGUAAAGAUUUGGUUGUGACGAGUUCUCACCGGUUUGAUGUGUAUGGAAAUGAUUUCGGUUGGGGUAAACCGGUAGCUGCGAGAGCUGGACCGCCGUAUGUGAGUGGGAGAAUGGUUGUGUUCCAAGGGGUUGAAGAAGGGAGUCUUGAUUUUCAGGCUUGCUUGCUGCCUCAAGUAGUGGAAAAGCUAUCAGAAGAUGUUGAUUUUAAAGAGUUUGUGAGCAUUGUAUUAUGAUGGUUUGAUGACUUGGUUCAACAAUUUGGAUCGAAUUUAAAAUGUGUGUGUGUGUGUGUGUGUGUUUCUUCCUUUUCUGAUUGUUUGUAAUUCAUCAACCUGGUCACAUGAAAUUCUCAGAUGGCCAUAAACAUUUUUAAAAUAAAUUUGAAUAAUUUUUCUUUAGUUUGGAAGUAGCAGCAGCUUAUGUAUACUAGAUCUUUAAAAUUUAUGAAAAACAAAUGUUUCACAGCAGCAUGUCCAUGGAUGAAAACUGAUAAUGGGCCUGCAAUUUAUGACCCAAUACGCAAUCAAACCGGCCCAAUGUAUUAGAACACGUGGUGAAUAUGUGUUUAGGUGAGAACGGGAUUUGGAUAUACACACUGUCACUCACUAGUCACUACUGUAAUCAUACUGCUCCAUCGAAUUACCUCCAGAAGCGAAGACGACAAACAAGACAUGGCAGAUGUUGUUGUGCUCUCUAAAAGCAUAGUUCGACCCGAUGGAUCGGAUUCGGAUCGGGUAAAGAUCCAUCUAACUCCAUGGGAUCUCUUCUUCCUUCGAUCAGACUACCCGCAAAGAGGUCUCCUCUUUCCAAAACCCGACCCGGAAACCGAUAUAAUCUCACAACUCAAAUCCUCUCUUUCGGUUGCGUUGAGUAUCUUCUACCCAUUCGCCGGCAGACUAGUCAAGACCGAGAACGAAAACGACGAAACGGCGUCGUUCCUCGUAGACUGCGAUGGUUCAGGCGUCAAGUUCAUCCACGCUUCAGCUAAAACCGUCUCGCUGAGUGACGUUCUAGAACCGGUCAACGGCAUCGUCCCCGAGUUCUUGAACCGUUUCUUCCCGGCUAACGGAGUCAAGAGCUGCGAAGGGGUCUCUGAGUCGUUGAUCGCGUUCCAAGUAACGGAGUUAAGAGACGGAGUCUUCAUCGCGUUCGGCUAUAACCACAUGGUCGCAGACGGAUCUUCCUUCUGGAGCUUCUUCAACACUUGGUCGGAGAUUUGCUCCACCGGAGUUGACCGGGAUAAAAAGUUCCCGCCUCUGCUUCUCCGCGGCUGGUUUCUCGACGGGAUCGAUCACCCGAUUCGAAUCCCGAUCUCGGAGACGGUGAUACCGUCUCCUCCGGUUGCUUCUUCGUCAUCGUUGCUACGAGAGAAGGUCUUUCGAUUCACGAGAAGAAACAUCUCCGAGCUCAAAUCGAAAGCAAACGGAGAAGUUAGCUUCGAUGAUCGGAGAAUCUCGUCGCUUCAGGCGGUUUCAGCGCAUAUGUGGCGAUCGAUUAUCAAAAACAGUGAUUUGAAUCCGGAGGAAGUGGUUUACUGCAAGUUACUGAUGGAUAUGAGACGGAGACUAAACCCUCCGCUUGAUAAAGAGUGUUUCGGAAACGUCGUCGGAUUCGCGACAGCGACGACAACGGCUGGAGAAAUGGUUAGUAAUGGGCUGGGUUGGGCCGCGUUGCAGAUAAACAAAACUGUUGGGUCGCAGACGGAUGAAGGAUUCAGAGUGUUCGCUGGGAAUUGGGUGAAGAAACCGAAGAUACCGAAUCAUGUGGCUGUGAGUAGUAAUUCUGUGAUUGUUGCUAGCUCUCCUUGGUUCAAUGUGUAUGGAAAUGAUUUCGGUUGGGGUAAACCGAUCGCGGUUCGUGCUGGACCGGGUAAUACUAGCGAUGGUAAGCUCAUUGUUUAUCCUGGGAUUGAAGAAGGAAACAUCGAGAUUCAGACUUGUUUAUCUU